CGAUCAGAGUUCUGGUUCAGCAAUUAGCUCAUUACUCAAUGACCUUGUUCGGUUAAGCUAUGCCCUUCACCUCAUGCUUGUGUUCCCUAUGUUGAACUUUUCUCUGAGGGCUAACAUCGAUGAGCUGCUUUUCUCCCAGAAACCUCUUCUGGCAAAAGACACCAAAAGAUUUUUGUCCAUCACCCUUGUGCUUCUAGUAUUCUCUUAUACAGCAGCCAUAACGAUCCCGGACAUAUGGUACUUCUUUCAGUUCCUAGGAUCGACUUCUGCUGUCUGUCUCGCUUUCAUUUUCCCAGGUGUCAUUGUUCUCAGGUACUUCAUUUUUCAUGCAAGACAUGUCCAUUCUCACCUAUGGCUUACCGAUGUUUCUGCUCAAUCUCAAUCUAAUUCCUUCCAUUGUUUCUAUUUCUAACUUGCAGGGAUGUUCAUGGCAUAUCAACAACAAGGGAUAGGAUCAUCGCAACAGUGAUGAUAGUUCUAGCUGUAGUCACUAGCACAAUAGCAAUUUCCACAAAUAUAUAUAGUUCGAUUAGAAACAAAUCCUAGUUUGUUUCCUGAUUUUUACUCUUUUUUGUAGCAAAGGUGAUAUAUAUAUAUAUAUUUUUUCCUUCUUUUUGUAUUCUUUUUCUUGAGAAUCCGAUGUUGUUUUGGCCGCAUGUAGAAUUAAUAUUUGAUAAAUGUAGUUUAUCAAACACAUUAAGGGAGUUCAAGAAUGCAAUUUCCUGCUAUAUAAUAGCAAAUGAUUCUGCUUUCUUCUUUUGCUCCUGAAUGAACCUAUAAAUGAUGCUUCAUGAAUUGAUGAUUUUUUUUUAGAAGAAAGUAUGCCUUUCAAUAGAUUAUCUGGAAAACAAAUACAUGAUGUCUGUUGGAAAUUCAUCCAACCAUAUUACAGUUUCAUUCCUUUGCAGGGCUGCCUUAGCCAAACCAUGAGCUAUGCCAUUACAUGUUCCGGGGAUAUGCUGAGCUUUGAAAUUCUAGAAAUUCUUCCUGAUUUCCAGAAUUUCAGAGAUCACCCAGAAAAUUUCAGACAUGUUACUUGUCCUCUUGUUAACUAGUUCAACUACUUCUAAUGAAUCAGAUUCAAAAAUCCCAGCAGUAACACCAACUCUUAGCGCUACUUGUAAGCCCCACUCCAUGGCUGCAGCUUCAGCCAUUGCCACGCUGCCAAAAACCUUGGAUGUUUUAACAGCAGCCGCUUUGCAAUUUCCCUCCUGGUCUCUGAUUACAACUCCUAAGCCUGCCAUUUGUUUAUCUGCAUCCACAGCAGCAUCCACAUUGAUUUUUAGCCAAUCCUUUGGGGGAGGGCACCACUGGUUCAGCUCCUCUGCCUUCUGACUCCCCACAAAGUUCAUCUCAGGUUGUUUAACUUUCCUAUAAGACUCUACAACAGAUUCUGCCCGCGCCACUGCUAUAAUUGGAUUUUCUUUUUUGCCCUCAAACAACCAUUUGUUUCUUGCAUUCCAAAUAACCCAUAGCAACGCAGCCACCAAAGCCCCUUCUAUAUUGGUUUGCUGUUGGGGCAAAAUUUGUAGUAAUCCAAUUAUGUCUUGAUUGUGCUCCCCUUGAGAUCCAACUGUUAAUUGAGCAGCUUUCCAUAUCUUCUUUGCCAUUUUGCACUCCAACAGACCAUGAGAAAUGGACUCCAUUUUGCAGCAGCAAAUUUGGCAAGUUGACUCCUGUAAAAUCCUUCUUUUCCAUAAUUUUUCCGCUGUUGGCAAUUCAUGAAUUGAUGAUAACUUCUCAAAGAAGAUAUUAAAUGAAUGAUUUCAUAUGAGACCUCACUGAAAAUUUCACUUGAAAUGAACAGUGUUAGACAUACAUAUGACACCAAUACAAGACAUUUUCAUUGUGGAUUUCUAGUAAUGCCGAAUGAAAGCAUAAUCAAUGCCCGGAUAAACAUAAACCCUGAAAUCUUCCUUACCUUUCCAAAAGCUCCAUGUGAAGUUAUGAUUCACCUGCUUAAUCAAAUUACCAAUUUAAUUUUGUACUUCUAUAUAGUAUAAACAUUCUUUAGUGGAGCAUGAAUGUUUUCAAGACUAUGUACCUCAGCAAUCACAGUUUCUCCUCUGUAAACUUUAUAGGACUACCGAGAAGAGUGACAAACCAACGAAUCUGAAAGUCGGAAAUAUAUAAUAUAUUCUAUUUGCUUUUGGCAAUCUUUUGCUGAAACAGAGUGUUAAUGCAGGAAUAAUGUAAAAAGUUAGAAACACUGCAAAAAAUUAAAUUCUCAAAUAUUUUUUUAUAGUGAACAAGAAGAUACAGGGCACUUUCUUGUUCUAUCGGAAAAAAUACAACUAAUGAACUCAGAUCUGCUUUCUGCCGAAACUGUGUUUCAAACUUAUAGUUCAAAGAGCUCAAAAUAAACAAUCUCAAGAAGGAAUAUCAUAUCUCAGGUCUUGGAACCUCUUCAGUAAGCUUGAUUUGUAUUUCUCGACCUCAGCAUCGUUUAACGAGUCUGGAGUAGACUUUAUAACUGAUAUCACCCCAGCAUGGUGUAAAGCUCCAGCAGCUUCAUCUGCAGCAUUAGAUGUAUAAUAUAAAAAGUCCAAAUAAUAGAAAGGAGGAUAUUUGACAACUUCACAUAUCCCUCUUAUUGUGAUCCAGAAUCAAAAGACAAGCAUUGAAAGAAUUCUACAAAUUAAGUGAUGAAAUCAACGAGUUAGUCUUACGACUCAAAAUGGUCCAACUCUCUGAUAACAUGAACAUGAGUUGGUCGUUUAAAGAAUCAAGAGGGAUCUAAAAAUUUCUUUGUUUUAUGUGUAACUGAAUUCUUAACAAUGGUAUCCACGAAAAAGUUCUUCAAUCUCAGCUGAUAUCCUGCUUUUUUUGGUUAGAAUAGUGAAGUUUCCAUAAUGAAUUGACAACAUGUCACAGUAAGAUGCAAACGCACACAAAUCUGUGGUAGCAUCAAAAUUUAGUUUCACCGAGCAAUGUUGCUCAGGUUAUAUGUCUAGACCAUUCGCAGGGUUAGAUCAAACCUAUGUGGCUAGAUUGGAAAAUUUUGCAAAGAAUCUUCUAAUGAGAACCUUCACAAUAAUAGCUGUGAAGCUAUCAUAGUUGAGAUGUAACUUUUAAAGGAGUUACAAUUUAAGCAUCAAAGGAUUGAUGCAUGAGAGCAUCUUAGUGAAAACAUGUCUAACCUGAGUGUGAAAGGGCAGCAAGAGCCUUCAGGGCCUCUUUCCGUGUGCGGUCAUCUUUAGCAGCUCCCAGCAUAUUUACAAGCUCUUGAGCUCCACCAAUCUCUACUAUUUUCAUCCUCCUUUCAUCUGCAAUCAAGAGGAAAGCAAAAUCUGUAUAUGAGCUGCAAUCCGUAAGCAAUCUUCAAUUGACACCUCUAGUUCAACAGUAACGUCAUUAGUUAGCCAUAAUCUCACACAGAUAGUCUCCAACUACAAAUAAAGUGAUCUAACUGGAGUUACCCAUACCAACUAGGAGCUCGUGAAAUGCUGCAAGAUAGGGCCUCAAAAUGACACAGGAUAUAGACAAGACAAGUCUUCACCUUAGACAACAACUGGAAUCCUCAAAUUAAGAGAAGCAACAAGAUCCUUAAAAGGCAAUAAAGAGUCCAAACUAGUCAACAGAUAUCCACGAGGACUAAGAACUUUGAGAGCUCAUGUUCAAAGAAUCAUUUCUUUCAGAAGUGGCCAUGAUCAGAAAGCAAAUUAGGAGUGAGGACCUCUGCCUGCCAAACUCUUUGCCUUACACAAUCACAAUACAUUGAAGCUAAAAAUUUACUAUCCAUGACUAUCCCCAAAAGAAAAAAGAAAAAAGAAAAGAAAAGGAAAAGAAAUUUACCAUCUAUUGCAAAACGGGUCAAUCUAGAUGCCCCCAUUCUUUUAAACAAAGGGUCCUUCACUUUCAAAAGUGACACAGACUGUUGCAUCAAGUUAUCCCCUGGAACAGCAGAGCAUAAGAAUUUCAUUAAGGAUCCCUACAACAUAAGCCAGUCAAAAAUUGGCUCAGAAAAACUAUCCACAUACCCAUGUAUGGGAAGAAUUGAUAACCAACAGCCGCUGCUGUACCGGCAAACAACAGUUUCAGUAGCCAUCCUAUUUUCCUUUCGGCAUCCUGUUCAAGGGCGAGGUCAUCUGGAAGUACACACACACAAAUCAAUGAUUUUCUCGCAAGAUCCUUCAAUCCAAAAUUUCAUCACUUCAAUUACUUUGCUACCAACAGGAUAAAAAUCACGAAAAUGAAUUAUAAGAAUCAUUUCUGUCUAUAAUUUCUUCAAGAAAUAUUUCUAAAUAAGGAAAGUUGCAAAACAUAUUAGCACAAACUGGCACUAUGAUGAAAAUUCAGAGCAUUACUCAAUCAAAUAUCAUAAAGAGGAAAACGAAAACAACCUUUUCCAUUGUAUGAUGAGAAAUUACGAGACUGCACAUUCCCAGCUCUUCUUCUACACACAUACUGCAUCACAUAUAAAAAUUUAAAAAAAAAAAACACAACAGUUAAAAACAAUCAUCAUAGUAUCUAAUUGAGUUUGAGACAAAGCAGCUAGUUACAGUGGUAAGCUGGGAUGCUAGCGUGCGCAUGAUGGAAAGACAACCUCUUUCCAAGCUCAUUUUGAAAUUUCAAUGGAGCUUCUUCGACCCUCGGGCUCGCUCCAGUGCCGGUCUCUCUUAGAGAAGUGAGAAACCCGAACGAAGUUACCAAAUUGCCCUUGGUCAUUGAGCCCAAUGCAAGCCCAUCAGACGUAGAACCCGAACCGGCCCAAGCCCAAAUAGAAUCAUAAUUCACACCAUAAACGAAGUGAAACCAAAACCCCUCUCUUUCUUUUUGCUUCGGCAUUCGCAACAGCGGCAGCGGCAGCGGCAGCGGAGGCGCAGACACCACAAACAGAGAAGCAAAGAAGAGAUGGGGAAGAUAGCAAAAGGGUCGAGGAAGGGAAAGAAAGCGUGGAGAGCUAACAUAAGCACAGAAGAUAUAGAAGAUUUCUUUGAGCAAUCAAAUAAAGACGCUCUCUCCGGUGGCUCUCUUUCUCAGCUUCCGAACGACUCCCUUUUCUACGUCGACAACUCCAAAGGUUAGACAAAGCUUCAAGCAUUUUUUGACUCGUCUAGGCAUAUUUUCGUUGAACUUUGAUUUUGGGUAAGCGGGGGGCUAUAACGGGGAAGCGGCAAACUCAAUCAGGCCAUAACAUAAAUGCUGUCAAUUAGAGGGGGCAAAACGUAAAAUUCACAUAGAGAUAGGAUAAAUUUCGGUUGAAUCGCCUUAUCUUUACUAGAAUUUAUAUCCGUUAGAUAGAUUGUUUUUGCUAGAGAGCAAGGUUUUUGAUUGUAAAAAAGUACAUUUGCACUGUUAGCGGAAGGUGCACAAUUUGUAUUAUGUGGUUUAAUUAUAGGUUAAUGGAAAAAGUUUUUUUUUUUUAAUUGUAACUGUUGGCUAUGCUUUUGAAGUUUUGUUGCGGUUUUAUUGAUUAUGCUUAUUUUUAUGACUUGAGUUUUUGGUGAUUGUAAUGGCAGAUCUUUCGGUGAAGCGGAAGAUUGAGAAACAUAGGGAAAAGGUACUCCGCUGUGACAGUGUGCUGCAGAAGAAUCCUUUUGUUCGGGCAUUGCCAUCGUCAAAGCCGAAGCAGAAGAAGAAAUCCAAGAAAGAGAAUAAGGAUGUUGUGAAAGAAAAGGAUGAAACUCGGGAUGGUCAGAAGGUGAGCAAUUAUUGUUGGAUCCUAGUGUCUUUUGAUAUUUGAAUUCAAACUAAUUUUGUGUUAUUUCGAUUUAUCAUCUCAGAGUGAUGGUGCCUCUGCUUCUGGCAUGGUUGACAUAUGGGCAAACGAAGGUGAAGGGGACAACCCGAAAAAGGUAAACUAUUAUUACUAACUAUUUGAAAUUUUGAAUGCAAUUAUAAUCACCUUUGGAUGCCUGUGUAGAAAGGAAUGACAUUCUGCGGCAUUAUUGUUCAUGUGAAUCAGCAUCUAUUCUACAAUGUGACAGAGUGGAUUCACUGCCUCUUUUCUUUUAUCUGGUUAUGACAUACCUUUACUGUGAACUCUAGCUGGUUCCAAAUUUUGGGAGCUGUAUAAAUCAACAUGACAGUGUUUGAAAUAACUUUUAAGAUGCUUUCUUUAAAGGUAUGAGAUGGGCCUUAGUUGAUAGUAGGGUCAUUGACAGGUCCCAAAACCUUCAGUUAUUCCAGCUGUGGAAGUUGAGGCUUCAGGAUGCUCAUACAAUCCCACGUUCGAAAGUCAUCAGGUAAGUUCUUAAUGUUUGAUUCUUGCAAAUGUUGCCUGCCUAUGUUGUUCAUCCAGAUGGCAACUAUUUUAGUUCCUUUGCAUCAAUCCAGGAGUCAUUGGCUCAAGCUGUGGCAGAAGAGAUGCAGAAAGUCUAUCGAAAGGAGUUGGGUCCUGAACCAGUUCCAAUUACCGUUCCAGGAGAAGUUAUUAACGAUGAAGAUGUGAGCUGCUUUUGCUCUGUGAAUUUAUCAUUUACCUAGAAUGCUAAGAUUUUGACCAUGCAACGUCCAAAAACUAGAGUUUAUAUUUGAUAUAUGUUUCAAAUGAGUCGAGGUCCUAAGGUCUUUGGUGUGCCUAUUUAUCUGAAGAGUUCAUCUCAAGUGAAAUAAGCACAACACUGAGGACCUUUUUUUAUAUUAGUUUACAGUAUGUGCCAUAAGCUUAACCUUAUCUUUUUAACCAUCAGAUGUACUUUCUUGAGGUGGAUAAUGGAAGCGAUGAUGAAAAUGUGGAGAAUUUGAGCGAAAAUCAAGAUACUGGAAAUGAAAACAGGUAAGCUUCUUAGAUUUGUUAUGGCUGUCACAAUAAUUAUUCUUUUUCUAUCUAUAAAUAAUGAGAAAUCCUUCUGUUUCAAUAUCAUGAUGCAGAUCUAGAAAAACAAAGAAGGUCACCCGGGUUGAAUUGAAUAAGAGAGAAAGACACAAGGAACUGCAUAGAAAAGAAGCAGAAGCAAAAAAGAGGGAGGAGCUUUCUAAACAAAUUGAUAGGUAAGAUGUUUUUCAUGCUUCUACUAACACAUAUUUGUUCGUAGCAUAUUCUUACAAUUGCUUCUUCUCCUAUUUGCAGCUUGCCGAAUAUUAUUGAAGAAAUAACGAAAGAGGAUGAGGAGAAGCAAAAAAGGCAUAUAAGGCGUGUUGUGGCUAUGCAAGAAAGACUAAAAGUUCGUCCACCACGCUUGGGAAAGCACAAGUAUGUUUUUUGCUUUUCCAUUUUUAAUAAUGAAAAUUCCACUUAGUUCAUAUAUUCCUUUUGCUGUUUCUGCUUAUUGAUUUUGGGCAUAAUUUUUUAUAGAAGCUAAUGUAAAAUAUCAUCUUUUUACACCAUAUUUCACACGAUAAAAGCCUCUGAAGUUCUGUAACUUCUCAAGAAAAAGUAAAAGUUUGGUGUAGGAUCAAGGAUAACAAUUGCUACAUCAAAGGAUGCUUCAAUAUUUGAGAAAAGUAUCAAAUGCUUUCUAGAGAAAAACAUGUUCAAUUGAAUUUUUCUUGAAAAUUGUGAUUGUAAUUUUCUAUAUAGCAGGCAUACUAAUUGGCAAUUUUGUUUCAGAUUUGAGCCGGCUCCUACACAAGUCCUUCUAUCUGAAGAAAUAACUGGGUCUCUCCGUAAGCUCAAGGUACGUUUCCUUUUCUUUUCUUGAUGUUUUCCAUUUAGUCAUCAAAUUUCUUCUUAUUGUUUGUUUUUGAGUGAACUGAUUGUCUUUUUUUGUUAAUCACAAUUAGGGUUGUUGCACCCUUGUAAAGGAUCGGUUUAAGAGUCUAGAGAAGAGAGGAUUGAUUGUCCCAGUCAAGGGCAAAAGGUUAGAUGAACUCUCCACAUUGCUUCUGCUUUUCCUUUCUCUUGUAGUGGCUAUAUUGCUAAUUAGGGUGACAGUAGAUUACUUGAAACAGAGAUUAUAAUGUUGAAUAUUGGGAGUUAAUUUUUGCUCAAACACUAACUCAAUUUUAUUAUUAUAAAACUGCAAUAUAUGUUUUUCUACAGAUGGAAUAUCUACUGGUGAAUUCCUUUCAUUUUGCAUAUGAUUUAUGUAUGAUUAUGCUCACGCCAUUGAAAUUUAUAUACUUGAACAGGAAAUAGAAAGCUGCUCUCCCUUGCAAAGAUUCUCUUACGUGGUUUAGCUUUUGAUGUGUGAGGUCAAGGUAUAUCUUACCAGAAGGUUUCGAACUCGAAUUGCUUACCAGAAAAUGAGAGAGAUGCAUCUAGGAAUGCAGAAAACUUACCAGUUCUUCAUGUUUUAUUCUUCUUUAAAUGUAUAAUUACUUCGGUUUUUGCAUUUGUUAACCCAGUUUUGAGUUAUUUAUGCCAUUGGCUUUCUAUAAUGUUUCCUUACGGUGGUUCUGUAUUCCUGUCCUUUGACCAAGAGUAGUCAAUAUAUGUGUAACACUUUCUUUCAUCAUAAUUACAAAAAAGUUUACCAAAUUAUAUAAAUGAACAUGAACUUUCCCAAAUAUUAUGUGACAUCAAAUCAUACAGUUAACUAUACUGGAAGUGUUUGUUCAACUCGCAAAAUCAUAGAUACCAGCCAUGCAACACUGACAUCAGUGACAUGUCGUUUAAGAUUUAAUGACAAACACGACUCGACGUUUACUUAGGCAUACAACAAACAGCAUAUCGUUCAAGGUCACUGUGAAUGUUUCCUCCGCAUUCGUAGAUACAAAACAAAACUAAGCAUUGUACCAAUGAAGCUAAUGGAUCCCCAGACUGUAAAAAUAAGCUGAUGGCAUUUCAGAACCCCCAUGCAUAUUUUGCGAUCAUGUUCACCUUCUCUUUGGUAACUGUGAGCGGCCAAGUAUCCGAAAAGAAGAAUUCCGAUGGGAACGUUAGAACCAACAAUCGUUUGGUGAACAAAUGAAACAGGUGAGCCAAUGAAUUCUGAUGUUGAAGCUGCAAUGAUAACAUUUAUGGCUCCUGUGCCAGUUCCUAUAAUACCUGUGCUUAUGUAAAGACAUGCGUUGCUGUUGCCGAUGAGCAAGAAGAAGGCUAAAGGCAUGGGCAUCAUUAUGAGCAUCACUGAUGUUGCUGCCUUGGAUUUGAUUGAUUUUUCCCUGAAACAAAUAAUUUUAUGUCAAAUUUAAACAUAUCAAGCUCUAACAUGUGUACUGAGAUUUAUAACGGCUAGUGAAUUCAUGAGACGGCAAUACGUUGCCUACUGGAUCAUUGCUUGUUUAUCAAGACUGACAUAAUUUUGGUAUAUAUUGAAGUUUACAGCAGGAGAUGAUCAAACCUUGUGUACCAUGAGAAGAUGACAGAAAAGAUCUUUCCAAAGAAUAAGCUAAAUGAUGAUGUUGCCAUUAGAAAUGAAGCUUCAUGGUAACCUUUCAAGUCGCAGAUUAUAUCCAAGUUGCUGAGAUACACCAUUCCCAGAGUAGUCCCACACAUAUUGAUCAAAUAAAACAACCAAAAAUCUACAGUCUUCACUAAAUUUUUUGUGUCCCCAUCUUCAGUAUUGCUCUCUUUUUUCCUUUUAUCAUCUUUAAUAGUGUUCUUGAGUCCCUGGCAAGAUCUGUCCGGCUCUGGCAUCACCUUUAUGCCCCAUAAUAUUUCUAAUAUAAGCUGGUUUGCAGUGACGAGCAAUGCCACUACAAAAGGUAGCAUUACCACCAGCACAAGACUCACCACUCUCAAUUUCGGUGACAAUUGUGUAUAAGGUUCAAUAAUUGUGGCAUAAACUCCUGUUGCAAUAGCAAUCACCAACAUAAAUGGAAACAUUUUUGCUUCCUCACAUUCAGUCACUUCUACACAAUUUAGCAUAGCCAAAACCAACCCAAUCAUAGCUGGGGCGACACAGCAUAAGAGGAAAAAAAUACUAGAAUUUGAAGAACCUAAUAAUUUCUUGCCUUUUAAUCCUUCAACAAAACAAGUGUAAAUCUUGCCACUAAAUCCACUAUAGCUUGAUGCUAGUGCCAUAAUAUUUUCAUGACUAUGCUUGAAGUUUCUAAUGGCGACUAACUCACAAUAAGUGUUGAUCCAACAAAUGCUAUUGCCUGCGAUAAAAUUUAACAAUAAUAUUUGCUGAUAUGAUAGAUUGAAAGCAAACUCAUCAUGAUAUAUUAUGCACAAGAAUUGUACACCAUAUCCAAUUGAUCCAAAUAUCAAACCAAUUAUCAAAAUCAUCCAUGCAGGAAGGUGCUCUGAUGCAAAACUUGAAAUGGAUUCCAAGAGCCUUGCACUUUCAGAAGCCACAAUCAAAUUAUUGAGUUGCACUCUAGAGAUACCAUAGUAUUUAUGUAUUAGCUUGAAGCAUGCUGCAUAAAUAAAGCGGGUGCCAUUCAUGGCUUGUAACAAAGCAAUGCCACCCAAAAUUAGCCAUGGCAAUAUAUAUUGCCUAUAGCCAAAUGGGCUGUCCAUGUUUGUUUAAUUAUUGCAUGUUAAUUAACAUAGGCGUUAGCUUUAUAGUGAGUUGCAGAAAGGCUGAAUUUUUUUGCAUGAAAAUGCUUAUUUAUUUAUUUAUUUAUUUAUUUUGUCCUCCGAUGUUAAAUUGGUUAUAAGUAGCUAUCAAUGGAUCAUCACUUACCAGACGACAAAACUUAUAUAUAUAUAUAUUGAGUUCGUUGGUUGUGGCAUUGUUGCUUGGAGAACUGCAAUUGUAAUUCCUGAUUCAGAAAGGUUUAGAAGUUCCCUUGCAGCCAAGUAUUAGUUACAGUUAGAUUUGCCAAAAAUUCAUUAGAUAUGACGGCGAGAGUUACUGAUUCAGAAUGGAACUUUUGGUACGGUUUAUUAAAUUUUUCGGUCUGAGUUAAAUAAUGUUGACUAGGAUAAAUCAAUUGCUUAGUUAUGAUGAAGAAAACAAGUUAUGUAAUUAUGUACAUAUAGAAAGUUGAGAUUAACAGCUUUAUCCCAAGUGAUAUGGUAUACAUUAGAGAUAGGCAAUGGUUCAAGAUGGUUUGUGAUUUAACAAUCCCACUUUCAUUCCAAUUACAUAAAUGUGGACGAAUCUUGCCCCUUUUUUUAUAUUUGGGACCAAGAUUAAUACUAAUUCUGAACCAUUCAAUAUCCUAUCCCCUCCCAAUUAUCUCAAAUGUUAUCACUAAAUCAGGGGCGAAGUGUGCAGGGGACUAAUCCGAGCUAAGUUUUUUUUUUUUUUUUUUAUCAAAAAAGAAAAGUGAAUUACAAAAUUACCAUUACUGAAAUUUAUUUUAAAAAUAAAAAUAAAAUAAAAAAUUUGAGUCAUCACAACUUAUCAAUCCAAUUUUCCCAAUUUGCAAAACUAAAAUACAAAUUUACUUCUUUUUUCAUAGAUUAUUCCGUUUAGUAUUUUGUAUUCCGUGUUUCAACAACAACAACAAGGAGAGUAUUUUCUAUAAUGAAAUUGAUUAAGACAACAAAUUGAAAUAAGAUAGAAAAUGAGUUUCUUUCCGAUUGUAUGAUUGUCUAUAUUAAAAGAGAAAGCAGACAAUUUCGACUCAAAUUUGAUAAUUUAUGAGUUUUCUUUUUUGAAGAAUCGUAGGACACAAUUUCAAUAAUGUUUCUUUCUAUUAUUAUUAUUAUUAUUUGGCUUAUGUAUCGUAUUUCCAUAAUUUGGUAUGUAUAGAACAAACAUUUUGAAAAGUAAAUUUAAUUUUGAAAAAAAUCCGGUCCACCCCAAAAGAUAUUCCCAGUUUCGCCACUGCACUAAAUUAACAUUUUUAUUUCCAUUAAUGUAUUUAAUAAGAUUUAAUUUAUAAUUUUCAUAUAUUAAAACAUUUAUGUUUCCAUUAACAACUCAAUUAACAUAAAAAGAAACAUCUCCAAUAAAAGAAUAUUAUACAUUGAUAAUUACAUAAUAUACAAUUAAUAAUGUUAAAAUAUAGUCAGCUAAAAUAAUUGGGAGAAUUGGGAUCCUAUGGAAUCUCAAGACAAAUCCCAAUCCGACCUCCAAUUAAUAAUUGAGAUCAAUUUCAAUCCAAAAUCUCAAUUACUUUUAAAAUUGAUCCUAAAAAUAUAAAUCAAUUCUGUCUUUAUCAAUAUGGAUCGCGAAACCCAAUUAGAAUUUGAGAUUUUUUUGCCAUCCGUAAUAUAUAUUCAUAUGAUACUCAUAAAACAACACUAAGCAAUAAGCACUAGCUGGGUGUGAAACAACAACAUAAAAAAAAUUAUUUGAGUUAUAUAAAAGUAAGGAACACGAAAAUGGGAAUUUUUUUCAUAUUUUAUAUUAUAAUUAUUAUAGUAAAACAAAUUAUUGGUACUAUUCUUAAUGAUCUAUGCUAAGAUAAUGAGCAUAUCUCAAAUAUUAGGUUGGAAGAGUGAGAUAUCUACUCCAUUGAAAAAAAAAAAUUUACGUAACGUACGACUGAUAUAGUAAAAUAUGGUAUUUAUUAAAAAGGUAGCAUGUGAAUGCGAAUAUCAUAAACAAUUAAUAGAGUUAAAUAUGUGGAGACUAAUUUGAUAAUUAUCCCAAAUUUUAUAUAUUUAACUCAAGAUUAAUUCCCAACCAAUGUUAAAUAUGCAAAAGAGACCAUGAUGAAAAAAUAAUAAUAAUUGCACUGUUUUAAUUUUUUUUUUGUUUUUCAAUAUUUGUUUUACCUUGUGUAAAUUUCUCACGUGGAUUUAACACAUGUUCAUUUUAUGUGAUGAAUUAUAUAAUUCAAUUUCUUAAGGAUUCAACCACAUAGACCCAAAAUCAUACCUAAUCAGAUAUUAUAUUUUGAAUUGCCAUUUAAUAAUGGUAAAGACCUAAACAAUAACAUUGUAUUUAAACUGUUAAAAAACUUUUGGCACCUGCUAAUGUAAUUUCCAACCACCCAAAGUAGUUACUCAAUACAAAAAAAAAGUGUAAAACAAACGGGAGACUCUUAAGUAACUACGAUUGAAUUUGCUGUAAGUUAGGUCUAUAUAAUUGAAAAAAUCUAGUGCUAACAUGGGUAAAUUACAUACAUAAAUUGUCAAAUUAUACACAAUCUCUUGCCAGGAAUCGGUUAGCCAGCAUUUUCGUUCGCCAUCUUCCAAGAUUUUGUGUUAUUUGGUGUCUUAUUAUGGCCUCAUAUACAAGGAAAAAAACCAACGACUUUUGUUAAAAAAUUGGAGAAAAGUUCCUUUCGAAAUUCUAAUAAAAAAAUCCCAAAAAACUUUCAAGUCCCAACCAAAUUAAAUAGAAAAUUGAAACAUCGAAUCAAAAACGCAACAAUCUCUGCCUUUCAAAUACUAUCCAAAAGUCAACAAAGAGACGCAGACGCCUAUACUGAAAUGGGCUCUGGACCUCUGGUGGAUAUAUUUUGCUUGUUAAGAACAAGGGACAAGAUUUGCAUUUGUGUCUUUUGCAUCUGCAUACAUGUAUGUCCGUAUUCUGCUCAAAUAUUAUUUUAAUUUCGUGAUGUCUCAAACUCAGUGGUGCGCACUCCUUUCCUCAAUUUCAGAAAGUCACUGUUAUUGCCAUGACUGUUUCUAGCUCUCUUGGAAGAAGAAGAUUGCUUGCCGAGAUAAAUAGCUUUAUUGCUGUUUUUAUCCUUGCUGGACAACUCAGUUUAACGGUAUGCUGACUGUAGAUUAGGUUUUGCAAUGUUUUUUUAUUUGAUGUUUUACUUGCUUCUUACUAUGACUUUCCUCUUGAAUACCUGGUUUUCUGGGUUUUUAGUGUUAAGUUUUUCAAUGUAGAGUCUAUGAAUUCAAUAAGUGUCACAUUUCUCUUCCUAUUAGCGUGUGGUUGGGAGUAAACACUAGUGUGGAAUGCUGCUUGAUAAGGUUGUUUCUAAGUCUGUGAAUAGACGAUGAUGGUCAAACUGUACAUAUUUAGUAGAAUCAUAUGUAUUAUAAUGAGUCAUGCCAAAGAAAAAUGUAUAAUCAUGAGAAUAUUUCAGAGGGAAAACUCCAUCACCCACAUUAGAUGCCAUUAGUGUAACUGUGCAAGUUUUUGAUAACUUACCGUAUUCCUAUUUUGGCUCUGGAGAUGCGUUAUUUAAAUUAUCUGAACUGGAUCUCUGGUUCCCCUCCUUGUUUCCUCUCCAUGCAACCCGUAACCUCUUGAAGUUGUACUGGAUCAUUCAAAUUGAAUUUCCUGCACUUGAGCUUCUGUGAACUGUCAUAGGUUUUCUUAGAAUUAUCAUGAUAUGGUGAUCCUAGCCUUUUUCUUUUUUUCCAUUUUCGCUUAUCUAAUUAUGUACAGGGGCACAUCCUUUCUGUUGGUGGGAUUACUGUAGCCAUAUGCUCUGCUCCAUUUAUUGCCUUCUCAAAUAUGAUUGCUGUUGCAAUUUGGCCAACUUGGGUGACUGUCGCUUUUUCAGAGACCAUACGAAAGGUUUGUCACGAGCUAUUGUUUUUUAUUUUCUUUUUAUUACCCUCCAAUACUGUUGGACUCGUCUAUUGGUUAUAAACUCAAUUUCCAGUAUUACAGUCUACAGAACCAUAUUCAGUGUGCUUAUGAAGUAAGACUGUUAAAGGAAGGUUAUUCUAAAAUUCUAAAGUUGAGAAAAUCUCACAGUUGGGAGACUUCCAUUCCUUGCAGGUGGUUACUUAUGUUGUAAACAGGCCUGGAAGAGAACUACUAUUUACUGUUGUUUCCCAAGAGGAAAAAUACAAAGCUAAGGUGUGCUAAUUUUCUCUAUUACUGAGUUUUAUUCUUAGAAAUGAGAGGCAAUGUGAUAUUCAUUUGGUACUUUAUGUACAGAAGCACAUGGUCAUCACGAAUGUUGAUCCUUUGACCCUUUUUUUGACCUCAUAAGAUAUUCAAAAUUAAGAUUUAUUUCAUAUUUCCUUGGGUUCUUGUGCUUAAAAUGUCAAUAAGCAUCAAAAUAUAGGUUUCUCUAAAGAUAUGCUGCUGCAGGCGUGCAUAGACAUACUUAUCCAGCGACUUGGAGAUGCAUCCGCAGCUGGAAUGUACAAACUACUUUUCAGCACUCUUCAUGGGAGAACAUCAACUGUGUCCCAAUGUGCCCUUCCUAUAUGUAUAAGCCAACUCCUUGGUGAUUUAUGUUAUCGAACCUCUCAGAAUUGUUACUACUCUAUUUUUGUUCUUGAACUCAUUGAAUUUCAUAAUGCAAAUCUUUUUCUUUGGUUUAAUUUUUUUCAACCAGUGUAAUCAAAGUCUGCAUUUUCUCAUUUGGUUUCAGGCCUGUUUAUUAUGGAUAGCUACAGCGUUCCAUUUAGGACGCCGCCAGGCACAAGUAGCAAAGCUUUUGGUGAACCCCACUUAUUGAAAAAAAAAAAAAAAAAAAAAAAAAUUCAGAUGAUUAUUUUUUUUGGUUUUUUUUGGGGUACUUUAGCCGUGAAAUAUAGGCUGCAAAUAUGUAUAUUUUCCAGUUCAACGGCGGUAAUAAUUUGUUUUUUUCCAUGUAUCUACCAUGACUUGAAUUAGUCCCCCAGCCACACCUACACCCAAAAUUAGGUGGAAUCCUCAUUUGGUUCUAUUUCCAUAACAAAAAGACUAAUUAGGCUUUAAUACAGAAUAAUACCCAAACAAGUAUUUGUAUAUACCAUCCCUAGACAAGUAUUCCAGAAGCCUUUUUUGUUUUUCCCCUCCCCUUCCAAUGGGAUAAAAACAAAAGCUUAUGUGUAUAUGCGAAAUCUUUGGAAAACUCAAGGAUGACAUGUCGAAUGUAUUCUAAAGAUGUCAAACUGGCAUGUGUUUCACGGAUAUCAGCAAUUGAAACUGAUUUCAUCGAAAUGUUGCUCGGAAUUGCAAUUGUUUCAUUGAUCAUACUGGAGUCUUCAUAUUUAUAGGUCUCUGGGCAUUGAGAGAGAGCAAUUUGAAUGGUUUAAUCAGCUUUCACCCACUUGGACGAGUCAUGUUAAUUGGUUUAGACUUCAUUAAAGUGCUAGAUAAUACUUUUUUAUUUAUCAGUGUUUUUUUCCUCACUCAAUUAAAAAACAUAUAUAUAUUGUAGUGAGAGCCUACACGAUAUAAUUUGAGUGUGUUGCUCUAGUUAUUACCACUAUUUGUAAAAUAUUUGCUUUAAUACAUAUCUUUAUCAUCUCUUAAUAUCAUUUUAUUUUAUCUUUUAAAAAAACAUGUGCUGUAUACGUGCCCUCAAUCUCUCAAACUGAAGAUGAGAUACAUCUUCCAAUUAAUGCUCGGGGUGCAGCAAUAGUUUCAAAUAAUAAAAUAUUUAUAUGCAAUUUGGGUUAAAGUUUGCAGGAAAACUGAUGAUAGUAUCGUGACGACUCCAAUGCUCUCACAAAAAUUGAUUAGCGGUCUAAAGCAAUUUCAAACAUAUACUUAAGUCCUAUUUGUGAUUAAUGAUAAAACCUACACUUAGGUCCUAUUUGUGAUUAACGUUAAAAUUCAACAAGUUGCUUAUUUGAUAAAUUUUAUAAAAAUAACUUAUUUCAUAAUUUACUCCAUUUUAACAGCAGCUUUUAAAGUAAUUGGCGGUUACUUUUUAUUAGUAAUAGCAGCUAGGUGUUGCUUUUUAUAAGCAACUUAUUAAAUAGGUCACCGCACUUUUUUAAAGUCCUUAUUAUAACCUUAAUAUUUUAACCAACACACACACACACGCACACUUUUUCAUGAACAUUAAUAUAUAAAUUAUUAGAUAUCAUAUUACCGCCACAACUACUUAUGUUCUAUCCAAUAUCAAUUUAAUGUGAAUUUAAUACAUAUUACUUUUUAUUUUCUUUAGGUUAUGUAUAAGUAUGAAUUUUUUUUCAUAUUUUAUGUAACAGAUUAUGAAGUUCAUUAAAUUUUAUUUUUUUGAGUUUUUUUCAUUUUAUGUAGUUUUACACAUUUUAAAAAAAGUAAGUGUAAAUGAUUUAUUAAACAUACUCUAAAAAUAAAAGGCAAUUUAAACUUAUGUUUAUUUUGGUAUUAUAUAAUAAAAUAGUACUUUUCAUAAUAAAAUUUAUUAUACGCCUAUACUCUAUCUUUUCAAAUUCAUAACAACUACAAUAAUACAGUUUACCAAAUACCAACCUGUAUUUUUAAUUAGCAGCUUAUUUCAUCUGCAUAGUAUCAACUAGGGGUGGGCAAAAAAAGCUGAUUAAUUAAAAAUCGAACCGAACCAAUCGGUUCGGUUUUUGUGCGAUUUUUUAAUCUUAAAAAACCGAAAUGGUAAUAUAAAAAAAAAAUAGUAAAACCAAUCGGUUCGGUUUUCGGUUUAAAAAAAAAACCGCAAAACCGAACCGAAAUCUCAAAUAAACCGAUUGUUUUGAAAGCUAAAGCUAAAACCUAAAAACCUAAAAUCUAAAUCUAAACUUCUGACUUCUGUCUUCUCGGUUCCCGACUUCCCGCUGGCCGCUGCUCGUCGUGACUUCUUCUGUUCUCGCUGGCCGUGCGGCAUCUCUCGCUGCAAUUUUUGCAAUCGUGCGGCAUCCCUCGCCGCAAUUUUUGCUUCUGCUAACCUUGUUACUGUCUCAACUGCACUCUUUUCCAGAGUUGAAAUCAUUCUGCUUUUUGGCCUCCGUUGUCUGCACCCAGACCUUUACAAAUUGACCUUAUUGAUUGAUUGCUUUUGCUUGGGAAAUCACAGAGAAGAUGCAACACAUCAGGUGGGAUGCACUUUCCUUCUUGGGCAUAUUAUCGAACACGUCCUAGGCAUGAGAAUUAUACCAUAAUUCCUCAACAAUAUCUCUCUUGAACCUGGCCUGCAAAUUCCAUAUAAUCAUUCCUUUGUCUAUUUUGUUUUGGGAUUGGGACAGAAAGGAAGAGGGUUUCCGCUGCUGCUGGCGGCCAUAUUAUUGAAGGGACCUACGCCGAAUCUGAACCGUUGAUUCGCUUGUUGGACUUGAUUAGGACCCACAAUCAUCAUCUAUCAUCCUUGUUCGAGUGUCGGCUUAAAAGCCAGGUACAGGUAGUUUAUAUGUUUAAUAAUUUGGGACCACCAUGUUUGUGCUGCCAUGUCAAAUUUUUCUGCAGUUCUCUUUUUCAUUUUUUUUAUAAAUAUAAUCUCGAUUUUUGUAGAUAGUUUAUGUAAUAAUUUAAUAUAUAUAUUCUUGGUUGGCCAAAAUGAAUACAAAUGCAAUUAAUGAAUGAAGAAGUUAUUCAUAAAGCAUCAUUUAUUUAUUUGUUCAUUGCGGUUAAGUUGUAUGCGAUCCAUUUGGUUGUUGGUUACAACCAGUUAAAUAUUUAUUUAAAAAUAAAAUAUAACAUGUUAAUUAAGAUGAAUGUUGUAAUAUGAAGUCUCUUUAGUUUUGUAAAAUGUGCGUGGUUAUUCAAUAAUUUUGUAAAAUGGUAGAUUUAUUAAUUUAAGCUUUUAAAUUUAAAAAAGCCCAAAAUAAGGCCAAUAGGCUCAUAAUCGAAAUAAUCAAACCGAAUCGAAUCGAAUUAUUUCAAUUAAUUGAGUAUUUGAUUAUUUCGGUAAUUUGAUUAAUCGCGAUUAUGAUUUUAAAAUAAUCGUAAUCGAACGAUUAUGAAAAAUUUAGUAAAAAAUCGAACCGAACCGAACCGCGUCCACCCCUUGUGUCAACCACCGUAAUCCCAAACUGUCCUUAAUUUAUCAUUUGUAAUUCCAAACAAAAUUAUUUUACCUCUUUUUCUAUUGUUUGAGGCGGAAAUUUCACCAAGCCAUGUGUCACAAGAAUGGGCUCCUUCUAUAAUUGUGAUUAAAUAGAAAUUCGGACUACAUGGUCUGCGAUCCGCCUUAUUCCGUUGUGCAGUUCGAAGAGUGAUGUCCAAAAGCCUAUUUAGGCGUUGAUAUGGCCCAAAUAUGCUCUUGUUGUGAUUUUGACCUUGGCUUGAGUAGUCACAGAUGCCAUGAUAUUGCACACUAGGAAAGUUCUUAGGAAAGACUGGAGGGGUUACAACGGUCCCACGUAAAACCCAGUCUCCUUAAGCUCUUAUUGCUUUGGUAACAAAACUUUUCUAGACAUGUGCAAUACUGCACGAUUGCUCCAUUCUUGGCCUUCGAAUACUCUUGUUGAGAACAGUGCCGUAUGCGUGAAUAGUAUCGUAAGCGUGAAUAGUAUCGUAUACGUGAACAGUGUCGUACUCGUGAAUGGUGUCAUAUGUCUAAACAAUAACUUUUCUUCAAAUAAUUACACUCAAUGGCUCUGGUAAUACGUUUAUGGAUUAACGAGCAAAGUAGAUGCACAACUGAAAUGAAAAAUGAGAAGUAAACAUUACACAAGAGACAUAAGGAUUUACGUGGUUCGACUUUUGAGCUUACGUCCACGAGAGAAGAUGAGAAGAAGUAUUUUACUAAUUGUAUAGAGUUACAAGUAUUGUUGUAUUUAACUCACAAUCUAAAACCCUAAUACACCCAAACUCUCAAAAUACUCUCUCAAUUGAUGCUUCUUCCACACUACACUUGAUGAUUUCUCCAUGCCUUAAUCCACUUAUUUAUAGUGCAAACCAAGCCUUAAAUGUCUAUUUUGGUUGGCUUUAAAAUAUUAAUUUAUUUUAUUUCAUCAAAAUUGGUGUGCAUUAAAAUAAUAGUUUAUUUAUAAAAAUCAACAUAUUAUUUUGUUUAAUCAAAAUUGGUGGGCUUUAAAAUAAUAAUUUAUUUAUAAAAAUCAAGUUAUUAUUUUAAUAAAAUAAUUUGUUUUGUCAAAAUUGGUUAGUGAUAUUUUAUUGCUAUCAUUUUACUGUAUUUAGACUGCAAUAACAGAUGUUUCUGCUGAAUAUCUCGAACAAUUAGUUUGACUUAACUCCACAUUUUCUUCACAAAUUUCUUAUUGGUCAAUAUCUGACACGAACUAUAAGAAGCAUGUAACAUAUCUCGUGCCUGAGCCUUAUGAGCUGAAUUGGGUUAUUGGGCCUAAUAUCGAUUUUCAGGUAGUAAUAUCUAUUAACCUCAAACGCAGACCAAAAUGCUAGUGCUUCUGUGACAUUGCCUUUUAACAUAUGUUUGUUUGCUGAUAUUUCAUUGAUGAUACUCCUUUGGGAUUAAUAUAGGAGUAAGCAUGCUGAAAUAGGUGUCUAUUACAUUGAAAUGGUGCAAUUUGAACGGCUAUAUCAUCAACAUUCGCCAAUUUGACAACUCAAUUGGUUUAGAGUCCAUUAAAAUUAAUACUAAACUAUGCGCUUCUUUUUGUUAUUUUUAUUAUCAUCAUCAUCAAUUUUACUUUUGACGCAAAAUUUUCGUUCUCUUUAUUAUUAGUUUGUUUGUCUUGGAGAUAAACAGAAAGACGUGUUAAAACUGCAAAUGGCAUUUUGGAGUUGAACAGACACGAGAUAAAUUCCAAGGUUCAGGCAACGGGGGAUGUACAGAGUCUACAGACAACGAACACGAAAGUGAAAUCGAUAUCAAGCAAAGUUCCAUCAGAUCGAGUAAAAUUGAAGCUAAAAUUCAUGGUUUGUUUAAGAUUUGACCUAAAAGAGAUGACUAUUUAAUUGAUACAACUGGAUACUGAUAAAGCGUUGAAUGCUAGUUUUCAAAUCUAUGAUUAGUAUUAGGCAGCGGCUACUUGGAUCAGCUCUAAGGUAGACCACCCACCACAGCCAUUGGAUGCAUGUACUUGAACUUGAAACAAUUGUGACUGAGUGCAUCCAAUGAGUGUGGUGGAUGGUCUACCUUGGAGCUAAUCCAAGGUAGCCAAACCCUUAGUAUUAUUAUAUACUGCUCCUUAUGCUUAUAUAAUCACAUAAGAUGUUGUGUCAAUUCAAAUACCAUUUUUGUAUCUUAAUAUUGUAAGAGUAGCAUUUUAUUUUUUAUCUAAAAUUUAAAUAGGUAUGUUUGAAUAUAUUUGUCUUUCGUUCUUUACAUUUGUUUAUUUUUAAGGGAAAAGUACACUUUCAAUCUUAAGGUUUGGGAAAAUAAUCAUGUAAAUUUUCAAAGUUUCAACAGGAGAUACUCGGACUCCUUGUUAACUACAAUACCUUUUGACUUUAUUAACUAAAAAUAAUAACUAAUGUUUUAUAAUAAAUAGAAAAUAGUAUCAAAAUAAAUGUAAUAAUAUAUACAUUUUAAAAUAAUUUCAAUAUUUACAAAAAUAUUUUAAUACCAUACAAUCUUAUGUUAUUAAACUAAAUUAGGUAGUAAAUAGAAACAUAGUAUUAAAAUAAAUAUAUAAAAGUUUAAGUUAUUUUAAUAUUAUAUAAAAUAAUUUUAAUAAUGUUAAUGCAUGAGAUACAUUUUAUUAAUUAUAAAAUCUAUUUAACAUGAAGAUUGAUUUAAAAUUUUUAUAAAAGUUAGUAUCCUAAUACAUCCAUAUGAUCUAUCUAAAUCUGGCAUGCCCAAGAUUUUUUAUCUUGCAGCCUCCAUAACACAAUAAAAAUAUCAUUUAGCAGAUACAUAUUUUUUUAAAAAAGGAAAAAAAUAGCAUUAUUCUCUCCUGCAGGCAUUUGCAAUUUAUUAAAUCUCAAAUUAUAUGCAAAAGUUUGCUAAUAUGCAUAUGACUAGAGUUGAUGACUCCAAAGUCUAAAUCAAAACAGACAUGGACAAUAAUGCUCAUCUUAUGAUGAGCAAUAUUGUGCUGUGGCGUUGACUAGUCAGGGUUCGGUUAGAAAAUGUGAUUAACUUCAACACUAGUUACAAAAUUGAGCUAAAGCUCAGUUGCUCGUCAAUAGAGUGACUGAAGUUGCCAACCAGCUAUGAAUACAUAAAUACAUAAAAAAAAUCUAAUAUUUUAAACUUUGAAAUUAGAAAUUGUAAUGCCAUCAAAUCAAUUUUUUUCCCCCAAAAGAAACCCUAACAGUUCGUGAGCUGCCGUCGUCGCUAACAGCCAGUCAGCCGCCACCGUUCGUCGUCACUGACCAACACUCAGCCGCAAGGUUUUUGCCUUUUCUACUUUUCUUUCUUUGUUUAUUUAUUUCGAAUUGCAUCUAGUUUCAUUGAUUUGGGUGUCUCUGUGCAUGUGUUUGUUUGUCAGUAAUGAGUCAUUGAGUUGCAUCUGAUUGUCAUUUUCCUAAUUUUAUGAUUGUCAUCUUCCUAAUUUUAUGAUUGUCAUCAUAAGCUGCAAUUUGUUUGUCACUAACAUUAGCUUUAUUAGUUUGCUUGUGCUAUCAACUGAAACUUUAAGGGUUUAAUUGGUUUAUAGCUUGAGUAGUCAUGAUUUUUUAGUCUGAUUCUAUUUUGCAUAUUAGGGGUGGGCAAAAAAAGUUGAUUCGAUUCGAUUUUUUUGCCGUUUUUUUACACCCAAAAAACCGAAUUAGUAAUAUAGAGAAAAUAAUAAAACCAGUCGGUUCAGUUUUCGAUUUUAAAAAAAAAAACCAAAAAACCGAACCGAGUAUCAAAUAAACCGAAUAAUAUAAUCCCUAAACCUAAAGUGAGUAAACUGAUCUUCAAUUCAGCCACUGAACUCGUGACCUUCAGCCCCUGAACUCGUCGCUGCUGCUGCUCGUGCUCGUCCCUGCUGCUGCUGCUGCUGCUGCCGCUGCUCGUGCUCGUCGCUGCUGCUGCCGCUGUCGCUGCUCGCUGCUGCUGCUGCUGCUGCCGCUGCUCGCUGCUCGCUGCUGCUCGUCGCCGAGUGAUCUCCACAAAGCUACAACUUGUGAGUUUGCUAUUACUUGGAUUUUAAUGGUUGGAUUUUAAUGGUUUCACAUGAUGAUGUGCUCAUGCCGAGAGUAAAAACAGUAAAACUUGAAACAGAGUUUAACGUUGUUGGACUUGUGAGUGUUUGCUGUUGGAGUAGAUUUAGAUGAGCCGAGUUGGUUAGCUUCAUAGCUUUUCAAUAAUUUGCUUUGAUUAUUGUGUAAUAUAUGAUAAUUUUGUGACGAUGGUGGUUUAUAUAUGUGAUUAAAAGCUAAACUAGUGGAUUUGUAAGUAUGCACUCGGCAAAGCAUUUGAGGAGGUAUUUUCAUCUUUUCGUUAUCACAUUCCUCUAAUCAAUUAGCGUUAAUAAAAAAAAUGAUUAAUAACGUAAAUGGAGGGACUUGUGCUCAAAUCUCUAAAUUAAACUCGUGAUCAUUAAACAUUAAUAUAAGCAAACUACAAGUAGUCUAUCUUGAUCAACGUUUUCAACUCUUCCAGGACUGUCCCACUUCCAAAAUUUUUUUUUCAAACAAUUAUUGAAAGCUCAUUUCUAUAUAAUAUUUUCACAAGAAAUUUGUUGCUUUCAUAAAUGGGCAACAUUAGACAACAGCAAUGCCAAAAUUAUUGAAAAAAAAGUUUUAGUCACGGCCCUCUGCUAAGUGUCUUUAAAUGGUUGGUUAAUCCCCAAGAUUUUUUAUUUGUUGCUGCUAUUGUGUUGAUUUGUUGCUGCUGUGGUGCUAAUUUUUUUGUGUAGAAUGGAAAAUUAUGAUGAGGAAGAAGUGCAAGAGGUGGAGGUUGAUGAUGGGAAAAAAAGAAAAAUACCUUUGAGAUCAAAUGUUUGAACUUGUUAUUUGAAUAUGUUAUGUGUUAUUGAACAUUGUUUGAGACAUAUUUUGAUUUUUUGUUUGUUAAUUUUUUAUGUUUGUUGUAGAUUUAUUAAUUUAAGGUUUUAAAUUUAAAAAAGUCCAAAAUAGGCCCAAUAGGCCCAUAAUCGAAAUAAUCAAACUGAACCGAAUCGAAUUAUUUCAAUUAAUCGAGUAUUUGAUUAUUUCGGUAAUUUGAUUAAUCGCGAUUAUGAUUUUAAAAUAAUCGUAAUUGAACGAUUAUGAAAAAUUUAGUAAAAAACCGAACCGAACCGAACCGCGCCCACCCCUAUUGCAUAUUGCCCGCUUGCUUUUCUUUUAGCUCUUUUAAAAUUAUUCUUUUAGGUAUGUGUUAAAUUUCCAGGGUUUAAUUGCUUGCUUGCAUAUUGCCCGCUUGCUUUUCUUUUCUUUUGGCAGCUACGUGAGGGAACCAAAAUGAUAGACAGGUGACACAAAACAAUUUAUAGAACCCCUUUUUUUUUUGGAGGUUUGGAACACAGAACAGUAAUCAGUAACAGAUAGACAGUAUAUUUCUUUUUCUUGGGUGCUGCUAAGUUACAUUAACUGUAACUUACAGCUCACCCAAUACUAGUUUUUCACAACCCAUGAAUUAUUUGAAUAGCAACCAUUAGAGGUGUAAAGAAACUAGUUUAGCACUUAAGAUUUGGGCUUCCAGAAUCAGAUAAAAGGAUAGUUACAAACAUGCCAAAUUGAGGUACUGACAAACUUGGGUAAUAAUAUUUUUUUGCAAAUCAACAUGUGAAUGUGAUGAUGACUAGACUUGACUGUGUCCAUAGCCAACGGCACAAUUAUAUGUGAAAGUGAAAGCAAAAAGUAGACACAAAAACUGAAAAUGGCUGGCAACCUGCAUCGAAGAGAAUCCCCACUUUAGGGGUUCCUAUUGUAACUAUAUGGUUAUUCCUUCUUUCUGUCCUGCUGCAUGUAUGUGGCUUGUAGUUGAACUGGUUAGAUACGUGGAUGCUUGGUUUCUGUAGGUAUUAUUUGUGUUGUGCUCUGUAUCACGAAUCGUUCCACCGAUAUGCUUAAGUACAUGUUGCGUGAGGAGUUUACGUUGUAUAUUAAUUGAGUCUUCUCUUGGCAUUGCAACCUAUAGAAUUGUUAAAUAUGUGUCCAUCUAUUUUAGUUUCUCAAGCUACCCUGAGUGUUGUGGGAACAAUUUGUUCAUUGUUAUCAUUGCUGUGGCUGAUGCCAAAUACGAUCCAUAAUUGAUGUUCACAUGUUGGGUUUCCAGGUGUCAUUGUCAGUGAGAAAAACAGAAAAAAAAAUGGUAAUUCUAGUUACAUUGCUUUAUGUCAAGUAGGUCCAUGAUUCAUCACAUUCAAAAAUUAUAGAAAACUAUUAUCAUAUGACAUUAACAAAACACUGGAAAUAUUAGGGUGGUAGUGUCAGGAAGCCAUUUUUCAUUUAUCUGCUUUGGUUUUAAAUCCAGUACAUGGUAAAAUCAGAUUUAAUGUUUUGUAUCUGCCUAAUUCUUAAUUGUUUGCUUCUAGUAAAAUGCUAGUUUUAUAUUUGUUUUUAAAUUUUGCUUCUUGGCUUGAUUGUAGGUUCAACAUUUAAUAUGUCAAGUUCUUUGCCCACACCACACUUAAUGGAUGAUGAAGUCAAUCAAAACAUGUCCAGUUCUGUUUCAAUCUCUUGAUGAGGAGCCAGAGAUUGAAACAAAUGUAGAGGCUGUAGAGGUAUAUAGUUUUAGUUUAUAUUAUCUUGUCAAGUAUUUAUUAAGUUGAAUUGUUAAAACAUGUUUUUAUUAAUUUUUUUUUUGUUUAUGUUGUUAUAGGUUUAUGAAGAAUCUUAGAAUGUGCAUCAAUGGUGAUGGCUACAAGUUUAUGUUGAAGACUUAAAAUUAUUUUGAUUUGUUGUAUAAAAUUUAAUCAAUUGUAAUUAUGUUGAAGGCUUAAACUUAUUAUGGAGGUUGUAAUUUUAUUUCUAAUCACUUGUAAUUUUAUUAUGGAGGUUGUAAUCACUUGUAAUUUUAUUUCUAAUAUGGAAUUUGAUUAUUUGUAAUUUUAUUUCUAAAUAUGGAGGUUGUUAGAAUUAUUAUUUAAAAAAAAAAAGAAAACUGAAAUAUUUAGAAAUUAUUAUUUAAAAAAUGGGGAUCGGGUCCCCGUUUUAAUCCCCGCUCAAUUCGGGGAUUUUCGGGGAUAUACCCAAACAAUCCCCCAUUACAAUUUUUCGGGUAUGGGGCGGGUUCGGGUGGGGAUCAUGUGCCAGUCUGUGUAUGAACAAGCAAACUCUUGUAGUGUAGUGCAGAAAAACAUGAGGUGGCAGAUCAACUUAUCAGCGUAUGGAUAUUGAACUAAUGAAAUAUGUACCCCAAGGUUACUCAUUUUCAAAGCUUUGCAAAUUCUAUAUGAGUCCAAUAAUAUCCUAACAGUAACAGGACCAAUAGUGUGCAUAACCCACAAUGGAAAGGGUCCAGGCUAAGAAUAUACUGAGAAAUUUGAAAAUAAUAAUAUGAAUUAACAAAUUAACUAGAUUGAUUAGAAAAUAAUACCUCAAAAAUUGAAGCCAUAAGAGGAGAGGCAUCCGGGAAUGGUGGUGGCAAUUCAGGGAAUGGUGGUGGCUGAUAGUGGACCCAGCAAAAUACCUGCGGGCGAGUCAGUAGAUUUAUAUUUUGGGGUGUGCUUGAUUUUGGUGGCCUUCCAGGAAGUCAUAGUCCUCAUAUAUUUAGAGCAGAUAUCAUGUUCAUCUGGUUCUGGCUUUGGUGCAAGCUGUUGCAGGCAAUUAAUUAACUGGGAAGCAAAUAAAUAUUACCAAUUGAAAAAACAAACAAACUAGAAAAAAAAAACACCCACAUCUGUCGUGAAAUAAAUAUACUGUGAAAUUUGAAAAUAAUUAUGAAAUUUGAAUUAACAAAAUAAAUUAGAAAACAAUACCCCGUUUGGAGGGCAAUCGUCGAUGAAGUCAAAGCCCUCAGGUAAAUUUUGCAAUGGCCCAAGCUGUUGCAGGCAAUUAAUUAAUGAGGAAGCAAAUAAAUUUAUUUAAAAAAAAACACUCAAGGACGUCUAUCGUGAAAUUUGAAUUAAUACCUCGUAUGGAGGGCAAUUGUCCUUGAAGACAUAGCCCUCAGGCAUAUAUAUCCCAUUGGCAUAAUCUGUUGCAGGCAAUUAAUUAAAGAGGAAGCUAAAAAAUAUAUUCAGAAAAAAGAACAUCAAGGAAGUCUGUCGUGAAACUUGAAUUAACGAAAUAGAUCAGAAAAUAAUACCUUUUAACACCUCCCACUUUGGCGGAUCAGAGAAGUAAACGUUGGUAGGUUUGGGACAUGAGCAGAGAGUUGGAUCGAAGACGUAGUCCUCAGGUGUAAAUGGCGGAAACUGUUGCAGGCAAUUAAUUAACGAGGAAGCAAAUAAAUAAUAUUACCAAUUCAAAAACAGAAAAAAAAAAAUCUGCUGUGAAAUUAGAAUUAACAAAUAGAUUAGAAAAUAACCUCUAUCUUGUUCAACUCGAAUGGCGGCGAACCAGGUCUGUCGUCCAUGGUUUGGCGUUGGUGUAUUUGACUUGGGAACCGGCGAAUUUAGGCCCUAGGGAUUCCAUAUUUUAUGCAUAUUUUUAUUUUUUUUUAACCCCAUACAUUAUUUGUAAUCCCUUUGAACACGAGAAAGUUUGGUUUUAUCACAUUUAGCCCCGUCUCUUGUUGCGUUGUUGGUUUAGUCGAUGGUCACCGCUUACCUGAAAUUUUUGUUAAUUGGUUGUAUUUACAGUUUUUCAAAUCUUUAUACUUUUUUUUUUUACCAUCUUAUUUCCGGUAAAGUUUAUUCAUCAAUUUUGGGUUUUUUAAGACUAAGAUGACCGUCAUUCAAAAAAAAAAAAAAAGACUAAGAUGACCGAAAAAAAUGAAAUUGAAAGUUAAUAAUUUUUUUUAGGUAACUUUUCAAGAACUUUAAUAAGUUUUCAAACAUGAAAAAAAAAUUAUUCAUUUAAUUAAAUAAUAGGAGAAUUUUUUUUCAUUUCCCUUGUGUUAUUAUGUAAAACACAAGAAUUUAGGAGCCUCCUGAAACGAAGGAUGUCAAUGAGUUGAUACAGUGCGGGACUGUUAAUAUCCCCACCCGAACCCAUAUAAGAGGAAAAAUUUCUUUCACUGUCCCUUAAUGUGGGGCUAAACAGACAUGGGCCAUGCGUGAUUUCGUGGCAGUUUGGGUGUGUCUCCCUCGUUUAAUUGGGUGUCGCAUUUGGGAUUUUAGGAACUCUAAAAAAGUUAGCACUUGUACACAUUUAUGUUUUUUUUUUUUCCUAAUCCAUGUGUUUUUGGUAAUCCAUUUUGACCUAGAAUAUUUGGUUUUGUGAUGUUCCCCUCUCUCAUCUUUAUUGAGUGCUAAUCUUAUCUUGGAUUCUAGACUUUAUUACUGUUCAAAAAGAUUAUUAUACCAUAUGAUACAAUAAUAUAAUGAUAUUUAACUAUUAUAUGAUAUAAUGUAAUAGUAUUAUGAUUGACAAAAUAGUCUAGGCUGGUCUGGUCUGUGUGUUAAAAUAAAGGAUAUAAACUAAAAAUAUAAAGUCUGCAUAGAUUGAGUCUGACUAAGGGCUUAAGAAAAAAAAUGUAGGCUAAUUUAUAAAUAAAAAGAUAAAUUAAAUUAAAAAAAAUAAAGUAUUAGAUUAGUUUUUUUAUAUUAGUAUUUGUCAUUUAUUAUGUUGUGCUGUAAAUAUUUUGUAUAUUGAACUAUUAUUUUAUUAAAUAUUGAAUAAUCAUCUUUAAUUUAAUUUUUUUAUUUGGUUGAAAAUUUAUUUCAACAUUAAUGAAAAACCCAAUUUAGACAGACUUUUAAAGAAUUUAGACUUGUUAAUAAUAAUAUGAUUUUAGGAGUGUGCUUGAAAAAAACUUAUUCCAAGCCUGCAAUUUGCCAACUCUAAAAUAGUAUUUUCGAAAUUUUACAAAGUCAAAGUUAGAUAAUUUCUACUCUUUAUUACGUGGUCAUCGUACAAUUUAUUACUUAAAAAUGGUGGAGCCAAUAUUUCACAAAAAAAUUGUUUCUGAUGGCUGUAAGCAUACAAAACGUUUUCACCUUUUUUUUAAUCAAUAUUAUUUUUAGAUUUACCCGAUGCAGUAAACAAUGCAUUAGUCCUCUUAAGUCUUUUCUAAUAUCAUUAAAGUUUUUUUAUUAUAUAUCUACAAUGACUGUGUUGCACUAAUCUCUUUACCAAAUAAAGAAUCUGGUGCAUAUCAUGCUAUAAUCCAUGUAAAUUAUCUGAGGCCUCCCCAGUAGUAAUGGGCAAAUCGAAGUCUAAAUUUGGCUCCACAGUAUAAUAUUUUGUUUUUCUCAAAAGAAAAUUGCAGCAAUGAUAAUUGUUCUGUACUUCAGAAACAAUGGUUUAAAUUAUAUAUUUGUAAUGGAUGGAACCAAAACUCAAGCAAAUCUAUAAUAUCGGCAAUUCAAACACAUUCUGAUUUGCCCAGAUGCCUGAUUUAAGGUUGGGAACGAUACGUAUCCCUAGAGUAAUAUUCAAUUUUGAAUUUUAGAUUCAAAUGAAAACACUCCAAUUCUUAGUUCAUAAUAAGAGAUUUUUAAAUUUCAAAAACUCUUAUCAUGAACUGGGGGCCUGUGUUGAUAUAGGAAUCAAUGAUACCCCCUCGAAGGGGGCUAGAGUCUCUAAAAGAGGACAUCAUAUCUCUCGAAGGCAGGGACGAAUACUAUUAGGUGGGAAGUCUAGAAACCUUGAGGUAGGAAAUAAGGAAAGCUCAAUUUAAACAUUGAAUGAGUCAAAAGCACCAAGCUGAGGAGGUUAGAAUAUCUAACGAUUAUCACCAGCAAAGAAUCACAGAAGCAUUGCAAAAAUAGGCAAGGAAGUUUGCUACGAAACCACUACACCCAUAACACCUUAGAAAAUAGGUUAAUAACACCCUAUGCGAAAAUCAUGCCUCAUUUUCUUCUCCAUAAAGGUACUUUUAAGGAAAAAUGAAAAAGAAAAUAUGUGGACACUCUACUGAACUAGAACUAUUGAUAUUCAACUUCAAAGGGAAAGAUACUGACUUAAUCAUCAGAGGAGGCACAGUGGCACACCAAAAACCACCAUUUCCAGCCCCAUUUUAUUCCACCCACCAAUACAAUACGAAUACAAUAGUGAAGGAGGUACUAACAGACUUGGCAAAAAUUUUAUUCCACCCACCAAUACAAUACCAAUCCACACGAUAAAUAUAGUUGUUAUUGGGCAACCCAUUAAGAGUUAGAUUUAGGUCAAAGUAUUAAAACCAUUUCACACAAUCCAUUACACUUAAUAUUAACAGUUUAAUAAAUUUAAUAGCUUAAAUUAAGUAAAUUGACUUUAAAUUUAAUAAUUGUAUAAAGUUAUCACAAAUGAUUCAUUUGGAUAAAAACAUUUUGUUUUCGGGAAAACACAGCAGUAUACUUAAGAUCUCAUAAAAGUAGUUUUAAUUACUAUAACUAUAUAUAUAUAGUAAAUCAUAACUUACACCAUGAACUUUCGCACGUUCGGAUGGUUCUUUAACACUGGAUAUCCUCUAACUUUAUCAAAUACUUCAUAUUUUAGGAUGGGAAAAGCCGACGCGCCACUUCUUUGGUUGGAAAAAUCCUUCUCUGCAAGCGAAAAUUGGGACAACGAUCUUGAGAAGAACGGUAGUGAGUCGUGGUGUUGCGUACGAAACGCAACAAGUCAUAACUCGUAACAGGUUUUCCUUCACCAGGAUAAUACUCAGUGUCUUUAAAGAAGUUUUUCAUAUCGGUCCCCAUUUUGCUCCACCAAUCAAGACAAGUUAACACACUAUCAGCAAACCCCCUGUUGAAUCCAGGUUCUUCAUUCAAUGUAUCAACGACCUCAAUUAAAAAUUGAAUUGACUUCUCAGGGGACCAGAAGAAAGGAAAAUUUUGACUACCUGCUGGUCUCGUCCUAGAAAUAUGUGCAUAAACUUAUUAGAAAAUAAAAAACUAUAAUUAAAAUUAAAAAACUAUUAAUUAUAAACUAAAAAGCCAAACCUUACCUUUCAGUUAACAAACUACAGACAACUUGUAUGUAGCCUUUUUUGAGGUCACCAGACAAAAGAUGAUAUCUAACUUAUCUGUUUGCUCUGAUUUCAUUCUCAAUGGCAUUUGAUGACUUGCCGAAGUAUGCAUGGUGACCACCAGAAAAGAGAAAAAACAAGAUUAAUCCAAGGCUGAAGCUAUAUGAUCUUGUUGGUGAUCGAUUAGUACCAGUCAGGAUUUCAACUGAUCGCCACCUUUCUGAACCUACAAUAAAGAACACAAAGUAAGCAUCAAAUUAUAUUAAGAAGUUACAAUUAACAAAUUCUAAUGGACAAAUUACUUACCCUGGCUGCUGGUCAGGUUCAAUUCAAUUUUAGCGUGCCACCUUCUUAGUCCACGUUUGAGUAGGACGUUACUUGGAGUUAAAUUUCCAUGAAAAUGACCGCACUCAUGAAGAAAAGCAACGCCUUUGAUUAUAUCCCUACGCAGAACAUUCAAAAUUUUAGUGCAUGUCAAGAUAUAUUCUUGGGGCAAAAAAAAAAAAAAUGGCAAAACGAGUAUACUUACAAGGCUAUAUUCGUAUAAUCCAGGCUUAACUCUCUGGCCUACUCAUGAGUCCUGAACACUUCUUUAAAGUUUUCGACUAUCAUUGUUGUUCUCGGUUCUGACUUAUAUGUAAAAAAUAGCUCCAGGCUGAUCAAGCACGGUUCCAUAAACAGUGUAAAUUUCGUCUUGUCAUUGUUCUCAAUUAAUCCAAAGAAGCUCACCACAAAGUCUGAACGGAUAUCUUUCAGAUAUUCAAGUCUUCCAUCCAGGAUAUCUUUCUUCUUAAUCGUCUUUACAACCACAUGUCGGCCAUAAUCAUCCAUACCCUUAUAUCCAGGCUUUUUCCUUCGCUGAAUCGUCUUUACAACCACAUGUCGGCCAUAAUCAUCCAUACCCUAUAUCCAGGCUUUUCCUUUGCUGAAACAAAAAUAUAGUUGCCAUCAAUCAGCAUUUACAAUUCCCUGACUGUCCUUUGCUGUUUUCUUCAGCUUCUCCUAAAUUUUAAAGGCAAUUUAAUAAACACAUUAAUGGCAAUCCAACUCAUUCUGAUUUCGAUUCUUACAGUUCAAGUAAACAACUAUUUUGAUUUCCAUUCUCUAUUUUCAUUUCAGCUCAUUCCCAUUCCAAUCAAUUCCGAUUCUAGUUUAGUAAAUGCAGCAUAAUACUAUAAGGAGUGUUAAUAUCAUGUAAUGAGGGCUACCAAACAUGCCCUUGAUGUAGGCAGGGACGAAUACUAUUAGGUGGGAAGUCUGGAAACCUUGAGGUAGGAAAUAUGGAAAGCUCAAUUUAAACAUUGAAUGAGUCAAAAGCACCAAGCUGAGGAGGCUAGAAUAUCUAACGAUUAUCACCAGCAAAGAAUCACAGAAGCAUUGCAAAAAUAGGCAAGGAAGUUGCUACGAAACCACUACACCCGUAACACCUUAGAAAAUAGGUUAAUAACACCCUCUGCGAAAAUCAUGCCUCAUUUUCUUCUCUAUAAAGGUACUUUAUGGAAAAUGAAAAAGAAAAUGUGGACACUCUACUGAACUAGAACUAUUGAGAUUCAACUCCGAAGGGAAAGAUACUGACUUAAUCAUCAGAGGAGGCACAGUGGCACACCAAAAACCACCAUUUCCAGCCCCAUUUUAUUCCACCCGCCAAUACAAUACCAAUCCACACGAUAAAUAUAGCUGUUAUUGGCAACCCAUUAAGAGUUAGAUUUAGGUCAAAGUAUUAAAACCAUUUCACACAAUCCAUUACACUUAAUAUUAACAGUUUAAUAAAUUUAAUAGCUUAAAUUAAGUAAAUUGACUUUAAAUUUAAUAAUUGUAUAAAGUUAUCACAAAUGAUUCAUUUGGAUAAAAACAUUUUGUUUUCGGGAAAACACAGCAGUAUACUUAAGAUCUCAUAAAAGUAGUCUUAAUUACUAUAUCUAUAUAUAUAUAGUAAAUCAUAACUUACACCAUGAACUUUCGCACGUUCGGAUGGUUCUUUAACACUGGAUAUCCUCUAACUUUAUCAAAUACUUCAUAUUUUAGGAUGGGAAAAGCCGACGCGCCACUUCUUUGGUUGGAAAAAUCCUUCUCUGCAAGCGAAAAUUGGGACAACGAUCUUGAGAAGAACGGUAGUGAGUCGUGGUGUUGCGUACGAAACGCAACAAGUCAUAACUCGUAACAGGUUGACCUUCACCAGGAUAAUACUCAGUGUCUUUAAAGAAGUUUUUCAUAUCGGUCCCCAUUUUGCUCCACCAAUCAAGACAAGUUAACACACUAUCAGCAAACCCCCUGUUGAAUCCAGGUUCUUCAUUCAAUGUAUCAACGACCUCAAUUAAAAAUUGAAUUGACUUCUCAGGGGACCAGAAUAAAGGAAAAUUUUGACUAUCUGCUGGUCUCGUCCUAGAAAUAUGUGCAUAAACUUAUUAGAAAAUAAAAAACUAUAAUUAAAAUUAAAAAACUAUUAAUUAUAAACUAAAAAGCCAAACCUUACCUUUCAGUUAACAAACUACAGACAACUUGUAUGUAGCCUUUUUUGAGGUCACCAGACAAAAGAUGAUAUCUAACUGAUCUGUUUGCUCUGAUUUCAUUCUCAAUGGCAUUUGAUGACUUGCCGAAGUAUGCAUGGUGACCACCAGAAAAGAGAAAAAACAAGAUUAAUCCAAGGCUGAAGCUAUAUGAUCUUGUUGGUGAUCGAUUAGUACCAGUCAGGAUUUCAACUGAUCGCCACCUUUCCGAACCUANNNNNNNNNNNNNNNNNNNNNNNNNNNNNNNNNNNNNNNNNNNNNNNNNNNNNNNNNNNNNNNNNNNNNNNNNNNNNNNNNNNNNNNNNNNNNNNNNNNNNNNNNNNNNNNNNNNNNNNNNNNNNNNNNNNNNNNNNNNNNNNNNNNNNNNNNNNNNNNNNNNNNNNNNNNNNNNNNNNNNNNNNNNNNNNNNNNNNNNNNNNNNNNNNNNNNNNNNNNNNNNNNNNNNNNNNNNNNNNNNNNNNNNNNNNNNNNNNNNNNNNNNNNNNNNNNNNNNNNNNNNNNNNNNNNNNNNNNNNNNNNNNNNNNNNNNNNNNNNNNNNNNNNNNNNNNNNNNNNNNNNNNNNNNNNNNNNNNNNNNNNNNNNNNNNNNNNNNNNNNNNNNNNNNNNNNNNNNNNNNNNNNNNNNNNNNNNNNNNNNNNNNNNNNNNNNNNNNNNNNNNNNNNNNNNNNNNNNNNNNNNNNNNNNNNNNNNNNNNNNNNNNNNNNNNNNNNNNNNNNCCAAUACAAUACCAAUCCACACGAUAAAUAUAGCUGUUAUUGGGCAACCCAUUAAGAGUUAGAUUUAGGUCAAAGUAUUAAAACCAUUUCACACAAUCCAUUACACUUAAUAUUAACAGUUUAAUAAAUUUAAUAGCUUAAAUUAAGUAAAUUGACUUUAAAUUUAAUAAUUGUAUAAAGUUAUCACAAAUGAUUCAUUUGGAUAAAAACAUUUUGUUUUCGGGAAAACACAGCAGUAUACUUAAGAUCUCAUAAAAGUAGUCUUAAUUACUAUAUCUAUAUAUAUAUAGUAAAUCAUAACUUACACCAUGAACUUUCGCACGUUCGGAUGGUUCUUUAACACUGGAUAUCCUCUAACUUUAUCAAAUACUUCAUAUUUUAGGAUGGGAAAAGCCGACGCGCCACUUCUUUGGUUGGAAAAAUCCUUCUCUGCAAGCGAAAAUUGGGACACGAUCUUGAGAAGAACGGUAGUGAGUCGUGGUGUUGCGUACGAAACGCAACAAGUCAUAACUCGUAACAGGUUGACCUUCACCAGGAUAAUACUCAGUGUCUUUAAAGAAGUUUUUCAUAUCGGUCCCCAUUUUGCUCCACCAAUCAAGACAAGUUAACACACUAUCAGCAAACCCCCUGUUGAAUCCAGGUUCUUCAUUCAAUGUAUCAACGACCUCAAUUAAAAAUUGAAUUGACUUCUCAGGGGACCAGAAUAAAGGAAAAUUUUGACUAUCUGCUGGUCUCGUCCUAGAAAUAUGUGCAUAAACUUAUUAGAAAAUAAAAAACUAUAAUUAAAAUUAAAAAACUAUUAAUUAUAAACUAAAAAGCCAAACCUUACCUUUCAGUUAACAAACUACAGACAACUUGUAUGUAGCCUUUUUUGAGGUCACCAGACAAAAGAUGAUAUCUAACUGAUCUGUUUGCUCUGAUUUCAUUCUCAAUGGCAUUUGAUGACUUGCCGAAGUAUGCAUGGUGACCACCAGAAAAGAGAAAAAACAAGAUUAAUCCAAGGCUGAAGCUAUAUGAUCUUGUUGGUGAUCGAUUAGUACCAGUCAGGAUUUCAACUGAUCGCCACCUUUCCGAACCUACAAUAAAGAACACAAAGUAAGCAUCAAAUUAUAUUAAGAAGUUACAAUUAACAAAUUCUAAUGGACAAAUUACUUACCCUGGCUGCUGGUCAGGUUCAAUUCAAUUUUAGCGUGCCACCUUCUUGGUCCACGUUUGAGUAGGACGUUACUUGGAGUUAAAUUUCUAUGAAAAUGACCGCACUCAUGAAGAAAAGCAACGCCUUUGAUUAUAUCCCUACGCAGAACAUUCAAAUUUAUGCAUGUCAAGAUAUAUUCUUGGGGCAAAAAAAAAAAAAAAAUGGCAAAACGAGUAUACUUACAAGGCUAUAUCGUAUAAUCCUGGCUUAACUCCCUGGCCUGCUCUCAUGAGUCCUGAACACUUCUUUAAAGUUUUCGGCUAUCAUUGUUGUUCUCGUUCUGACUUAUAUAUAAAAAAAGCUCCAGGCUGAUCAAGCACGGUUCCAUAAACAGUGCAAAAUUUCGUCUUGUCAUUGUUCUCAAUUAAUCCAAAGAAGCUCACCACAAAGUCUAAACCGAUAUCUUUCAUAUAUUCAAGUCUUCCAUCCAGGAUAUCUUUCUUCUUAAUCGUCUUUACAACCACAUGUCGGCCAUAAUCAUCCAUACCCCUAUAUCCAGGCUUUUCCUUCGCUGAAUCGUCUUUACAACCACAUGUCGGCCAUAAUCAUCCAUACCCCUAUAUCCAGGCUUUUCCUUUGCUGAAACAAAAAUAUAGUUGCCAUCAAUCAGCAAUUUACAAUUCCCUGACUGUCCUUUGCUGUUUUCUUCAGCUUCUCCUAAAUUUUAAAGGCAAUUUAAUAAACACAUUAAUGGCAAUCCAACUCAUUCUGAUUUCGAUUCUUACAGUUCAAGUAAACAACUUAUUUUGAUUUCCAUUCUCCUAUUUUCAUUUCAGCUCAUUCCCAUUCCAAUCAAUUCCGAUUCUAGUUUAGUAAAUGCAGCAUAAUACUAUAAGGAGUGUUAAUAUCAUGUAAUGAGGGCUACCAAACAUGCCCUUGAUGUAGGCAGGGACGAAUACUAUUAGGUGGGAAGUCUGGAAACCUUGAGGUAGGAAAUAUGGAAAGCUCAAUUUAAACAUUGAAUGAGUCAAAAGCACCAAGCUGAGGAGGCUAGAAUAUCUAACGAUUAUCACCAGCAAAGAAUCACAGAAGCAUUGCAAAAAUAGGCAAGGAAGUUUGCUACGAAACCACUACACCCGUAACACCUUAGAAAAUAGGUUAAUAACACCCUCUGCGAAAAAUCAUGCCUCAUUUUCUUCUCUAUAAAGGUACCUUUAUGGAAAAAUGAAAAAGAAAAUAUGUGGACACUCUACUGAACUAGAAACUAUUGAGAUUCAACUCCGAAGGGAAAGAUACUGACUUAAUCAUCAGAGGAGGCACAGUGGCACACCAAAAACCACCAUUUCCAGCCCCAUUUUAUUCCACCCGCCAAUACAAUACCAAUCCACACGAUAAAUAUAGUUGUUAUUGGGCAACCCAUUAAGAGUUAGAUUUAGGUCAAAGUAUUAAAACCAUUUCACACAAUCCAUUACACUUAAUAUUAACAGUUUAAUAAAUUUAAUAGCUUAAAUUAAGUAAAUUGACUUUAAAUUUAAUAAUUGUAUAAAGUUAUCACAAAUGAUUCAUUUGGAUAAAAACAUUUUGUUUUCGGGAAAACACAACAGUAUACUUAAGAUCUCAUAAAAGUAGUCCUUAAUUACUAUAUCUAUAUAUAUAUAGUAAAUCAUAACUUACACCAUGAACUUUCGCACGUUCGGAUGGUUCGUUAACACUGGAUAUCCUCUAACUUUAUCAAAUACUUCAUAUUUUAGGAUGGGAAAAGCCGACGCGCCACUUCUUUGGUUGGAAAAAUCCUUCUCUGCAAGCGAAAAUUGGGACAACGAUCUUGAGAAGAACGGUAGUGAGUCGUGGUGUUGCGUACGAAACACAACAAGUCAUAACUCGUAACAGGUUGACCUUCACCAGGAUAAUACUCAGUGUCUUUAAAGAAGUUUUUCAUAUCGGUCCCCAUUUUGCUCCACCAAUCAAGACAAGUUAACACACUAUCAGCAAACCCCCUGUUGAAUCCAGGUUCUUCAUUCAAUGUAUCAACGACCUCAAUUAAAAAUUGAAUUGACUUCUCAGGGGACCAGAAUAAAGGAAAAUUUUGACUAUCUGCUGGUGUCGUCCUAGAAAUAUGUGCAUAAACUUAUUAGAAAAUAAAAAACUAUAAUUAAAAUUAAAAAACUAUUAAUUAUAAACUAAAAAGCCAAACCUUACCUUUUAGUUAACAAACUACAGACAACUUGUAUGUAGCCUUUUUUGAGGUCACCAGACAAAAGAUGAUAUCUAACUUAUCUGUUUGCUCUGAUUUCAUUCUCAAUGGCAUUUGAUGACUUGCCGAAGUAUGCAUGGUGACCACCAGAAAAGAGAAAAAACAAGAUUAAUCCAAGGCUGAAGCUAUAUGAUCUUGUUGGUGAUCGAUUAGUACCAGUCAGGAUUUCAACUGAUCGCCACCUUUCUGAACCUACAAUAAAGAACACAAAGUAAGCAUCAAAUUAUAUUAAGAAGUUACAAUUAACAAAUUCUAAUGGACAAAUUACUUACCCUGGCUGCUGGUCAGGUUCAAUUCAAUUUUAGCGUGCCACCUUCUUAGUCCACGUUUGAGUAGGACGUUACUUGGAGUUAAAUUUCCAUGAAAAUGACCGCACUCAUGAAGAAAAGCAACGCCUUUGAUUAUAUCCCUACGCAGAACAUUCAAAUUUAGUGCAUGUCAAGAUAUAUUCUUGGGGCAAAAAAAAAAAAAUGGCAAAACGAGUAUACUUACAAGGCUAUAUUCGUAUAAUCCAGGCUUAACUCUCUGGCCUACUCAUGAGUCCUGAACACUUCUUUAAAGUUUUCGACUAUCAUUGUUGUUCUCGGUUCUGACUUAUAUGUAAAAAAUAGCUCCAGGCUGAUCAAGCACGGUUCCAUAAACAGUGUAAAUUUCGUCUUGUCAUUGUUCUCAAUUAAUCCAAAGAAGCUCACCACAAAGUCUGAACGGAUAUCUUUCAGAUAUUCAAGUCUUCCAUCCAGGAUAUCUUUCUUCUUAAUCGUCUUUACAACCACAUGUCGGCCAUAAUCAUCCAUACCCUUAUAUCCAGGCUUUUCCUUCGCUGAAUCGUCUUUACAACCACAUGUCGGCCAUAAUCAUCCAUACCCCUAUAUCCAGGCUUUUCCUUUGCUGAAACAAAAAUAUAGUUGCCAUCAAUCAGCAUUUACAAUUCCCUGACUGUCCUUUGCUGUUUUCUUCAGCUUCUCCUAAAUUUUAAAGGCAAUUUAAUAAACACAUUAAUGGCAAUCCAACUCAUUCUGAUUUCGAUUCUUACAGUUCAAGUAAACAACUUAUUUUGAUUUCCAUUCUCUAUUUUCAUUUCAGCUCAUUCCCAUUCCAAUCAAUUCCGAUUCUAGUUUAGUAAAUGCAGCAUAAUACUAUAAGGAGUGUUAAUAUCAUGUAAUGAGGGCUACCAAACAUGCCCUUGAUGUAGGCAGGGACGAAUACUAUUAGGUGGGAAGUCUGGAAACCUUGAGGUAGGAAAUAUGGAAAGCUCAAUUUAAACAUUGAAUGAGUCAAAAGCACCAAGCUGAGGAGGCUAGAAUAUCUAACGAUUAUCACCAGCAAAGAAUCACAGAAGCAUUGCAAAAAUAGGCAAGGAAGUUUGCUACGAAACCACUACACCCGUAACACCUUAGAAAAUAGGUUAAUAACACCCUCUGCGAAAAUCAUGCCUCAUUUUCUUCUCUAUAAAGGUACCUUUAAGGAAAAAUGAAAAAGAAAAUAUGUGGACACUCUACUGAACUAGAACUAUUGAGAUUCAACUCCGAAGGGAAAGAUACUGACUUAAUCAUCAGAGGAGGCACAGUGGCACACCAAAAACCACCAUUUCCAGCCCCAUUUUAUUCCACCCACCAAUACAAUACCAAUCCACACGAUAAAUAUAGCUGUUAUUGGGCAACCCAUUAAGAGUUAGAUUUAGGUCAAAGUAUUAAAACCAUUUCACACAAUCCAUUACACUUAAUAUUAACAGUUUAAUAAAUUUAAUAGCUUAAAUUAAGUAAAUUGACUUUAAAUUUAAUAAUUGUAUAAAGUUAUCACAAAUGAUUCAUUUGGAUAAAAACAUUUUGUUUUCGGGAAAACACAACAGUAUACUUAAGAUCUCAUAAAAGUAGUCUUAAUUACUAUAUCUAUAUAUAUAUAGUAAAUCAUAACUUACACCAUGAACUUUCGCACGUUCGGAUGGUUCGUUAACACUGGAUAUCCUCUAACUUUAUCAAAUACUUCAUAUUUUAGGAUGGGAAAAGCCGACGCGCCACUUCUUUGGUUGGAAAAAUCCUUCUCUGCAAGCGAAAAUUGGGACAACGAUCUUGAGAAGAACGGUAGUGAGUCGUGGUGUUGCGUACGAAACGCAACAAGUCAUAACUCGUAACAGGUUGACCUUCACCAGGAUAAUACUCAGUGUCUUUAAAGAAGUUUUUCAUAUCGGUCCCCAUUUUGCUCCACCAAUCAAGACAAGUUAACACACUAUCAGCAAACCCCCUGUUGAAUCCAGGUUCUUCAUUCAAUGUAUCAACGACCUCAAUUAAAAAUUGAAUUGACUUCUCAGGGGACCAGAAUAAAGGAAAAUUUUGACUAUCUGCUGGUGUCGUCCUAGAAAUAUGUGCAUAAACUUAUUAGAAAAUAAAAAACUAUAAUUAAAAUUAAAAAACUAUUAAUUAUAAACUAAAAAGCCAAACCUUACCUUUCAGUUAACAAACUACAGACAACUUGUGUGUAGCCUUUUUUGAGGUCACCAGACAAAAGAUGAUAUCUAGCUGAUCUGUUUGCUCUUAUUUCAUUCUCAAUGGCAUUUGAUGACUUGCCGAAGUAUGCAUGGUGACCACCAGAAAAGAGAAAAAACAAGAUUAAUCCAAGGCUGAAGCUAUAUGAUCUUGUUGGUGAUCGAUUAGUACCAGUCAGGAUUUCAACUGAUCGCCACCUUUCCGAACCUACAAUAAAGAACACAAAGUAAACAUCAAAUUAUAUUAAGAAGUUAAAAUUAACAAAUUCUAAUGGACAAAUUACUUACCCUGGCUGCUGGUCAGGUUCAAUUCAAUUUUAGCGUGCCACCUUCUUAGUCCACGUUUGAGUAGGACGUUACUUGGAGUUAAAUUUCCAUGAAAAUGACCGCACUCAUGAAGAAAAGCAACGCCUUUGAUUAUAUCCCUACGCAGAACAUUCAAAUUUAGUGCAUGUCAAGAUAUAUUCUUGGGGCAAAAAAAAAAAAAUGGCAAAACGAGUAUACUUACAAGGCUAUAUUCGUAUAAUCCAGGCUUAACUCUCUGGCCUACUCAUGAGUCCUGAACACUUCUUUAAAGUUUUCGACUAUCAUUGUUGUUCUCGGUUCUGACUUAUAUGUAAAAAAUAGCUCCAGGCUGAUCAAGCACGGUUCCAUAAACAGUGUAAAUUUCGUCUUGUCAUUGUUCUCAAUUAAUCCAAAGAAGCUCACCACAAAGUCUGAACGGAUAUCUUUCAGAUAUUCAAGUCUUCCAUCCAGGAUAUCUUUCUUCUUAAUCGUCUUUACAACCACAUGUCGGCCAUAAUCAUCCAUACCCUUAUAUCCAGGCUUUUCCUUCGCUGAAUCGUCUUUACAACCACAUGUCGGCCAUAAUCAUCCAUACCCCUAUAUCCAGGCUUUUCCUUUGCUGAAACAAAAAUAUAGUUGCCAUCAAUCAGCAUUUACAAUUCCCUGACUGUCCUUUGCUGUUUUCUUCAGCUUCUCCUAAAUUUUAAAGGCAAUUUAAUAAACACAUUAAUGGCAAUCCAACUCAUUCUGAUUUCGAUUCUUACAGUUCAAGUAAACAACUUAUUUUGAUUUCCAUUCUCUAUUUUCAUUUCAGCUCAUUCCCAUUCCAAUCAAUUCCGAUUCUAGUUUAGUAAAUGCAGCAUAAUACUAUAAGGAGUGUUAAUAUCAUGUAAUGAGGGCUACCAAACAUGCCCUUGAUGUAGGCAGGGACGAAUACUAUUAGGUGGGAAGUCUGGAAACCUUGAGGUAGGAAAUAUGGAAAGCUCAAUUUAAACAUUGAAUGAGUCAAAAGCACCAAGCUGAGGAGGCUAGAAUAUCUAACGAUUAUCACCAGCAAAGAAUCACAGAAGCAUUGCAAAAAUAGGCAAGGAAGUUUGCUACGAAACCACUACACCCGUAACACCUUAGAAAAUAGGUUAAUAACACCCUCUGCGAAAAUCAUGCCUCAUUUUCUUCUCUAUAAAGGUACCUUUAAGGAAAAAUGAAAAAGAAAAUAUGUGGACACUCUACUGAACUAGAACUAUUGAGAUUCAACUCCGAAGGGAAAGAUACUGACUUAAUCAUCAGAGGAGGCACAGUGGCACACCAAAAACCACCAUUUCCAGCCCCAUUUUAUUCCACCCACCAAUACAAUACCAAUCCACACGAUAAAUAUAGCUGUUAUUGGGCAACCCAUUAAGAGUUAGAUUUAGGUCAAAGUAUUAAAACCAUUUCACACAAUCCAUUACACUUAAUAUUAACAGUUUAAUAAAUUUAAUAGCUUAAAUUAAGUAAAUUGACUUUAAAUUUAAUAAUUGUAUAAAGUUAUCACAAAUGAUUCAUUUGGAUAAAAACAUUUUGUUUUCGGGAAAACACAACAGUAUACUUAAGAUCUCAUAAAAGUAGUCUUAAUUACUAUAUCUAUAUAUAUAUAGUAAAUCAUAACUUACACCAUGAACUUUCGCACGUUCGGAUGGUUCGUUAACACUGGAUAUCCUCUAACUUUAUCAAAUACUUCAUAUUUUAGGAUGGGAAAAGCCGACGCGCCACUUCUUUGGUUGGAAAAAUCCUUCUCUGCAAGCGAAAAUUGGGACAACGAUCUUGAGAAGAACGGUAGUGAGUCGUGGUGUUGCGUACGAAACGCAACAAGUCAUAACUCGUAACAGGUUGACCUUCACCAGGAUAAUACUCAUUGUCUUUAAAGAAGUUUUUCAUAUCGGUCCCCAUUUUGCUCCACCAAUCAAGACAAGUUAACACACUAUCAGCAAACCCCCUGUUGAAUCCAGGUUCUUCAUUCAAUGUAUCAACGACCUCAAUUAAAAAUUGAAUUGACUUCUCAGGGGACCAGAAUAAAGGAAAAUUUUGACUAUCUGCUGGUGUCGUCCUAGAAAUAUGUGCAUAAACUUAUUAGAAAAUAAAAAACUAUAAUUAAAAUUAAAAAAACUAUUAAUUAUAAACUAAAAAGCCAAACCUUACCUUUCAGUUAACAAACUACAGACAACUUGUGUGUAGCCUUUUUUGAGGUCACCAGACAAAAGAUGAUAUCUAGCUGAUCUGUUUGCUCUUAUUUCAUUCUCAAUGGCAUUUGAUGACUUGCCGAAGUAUGCAUGGUGACCACCAGAAAAGAGAAAAAAACAAGAUUAAUCCAAGGCUGAAGCUAUAUGAUCUUGUUGGUGAUCGAUUAGUACCAGUCAGGAUUUCAACUGAUCGCCACCUUUCCGAACCUACAAUAAAGAACACAAAGUAAACAUCAAAUUAUAUUAAGAAGUUAAAAUUAACAAAUUCUAAUGGACAAAUUACUUACCCUGGCUGCUGGUCAGGUUCAAUUCAAUUUUAGCGUGCCACCUUCUUAGUCCACGUUUGAGUAGGACGUUACUUGGAGUUAAAUUUCCAUGAAAAUGACCGCACUCAUGAAGAAAAGCAACGCCUUUGAUUAUAUCCCUACGCAGAACAUUCAAAUUUAGUGCAUGUCAAGAUAUAUUCUUGGGGCAAAAAAAAAAAAAUGGCAAAACGAGUAUACUUACAAGGCUAUAUUCGUAUAAUCCAGGCUUAACUCUCUGGCCUACUCAUGAGUCCUGAACACUUCUUUAAAGUUUUCGGCUAUCAUUGUUGUUCUCGGUUUUGACUUAUAUAUAAAAAAUAGCUCCAGGCUGAUCAAGCACGGUUCCAUAAACAGUGUAAAUUUCGUCUUGUCAUUGUUCUCAAUUAAUCCAAAGAAGCUCACCACAAAGUCUGAACGGAUAUCUUUCAGAUAUUCAAGUCUUCCAUCCAGGAUAUCUUUCUUCUUAAUCGUCUUUACAACCACAUGUCGGCCAUAAUCAUCCAUACCCUUAUAUCCAGGCUUUUCCUUCGCUGAAUCGUCUUUACAACCACAUGUCGGCCAUAAUCAUCCAUACCCCUAUAUCCAGGCUUUUCCUUUGCUGAAACAAAAAUAUAGUUGCCAUCAAUCAGCAUUUACAAUUCCCUGACUGUCCUUUGCUGUUUUCUUCAGCUUCUCCUAAAUUUUAAAGGCAAUUUAAUAAACACAUUAAUGGCAAUCCAACUCAUUCUGAUUUCGAUUCUUACAGUUCAAGUAAACAACUUAUUUUGAUUUCCAUUCUCUAUUUUCAUUUCAGCUCAUUCCCAUUCCAAUCAAUUCCGAUUCUAGUUUAGUAAAUGCAGCAUAAUACUAUAAGGAGUGUUAAUAUCAUGUAAUGAGGGCUACCAAACAUGCCCUUGAUGUAGGCAGGGACAAAUACUAUUAGGUGGGAAGUCUGGAAACCUUGAGGUAGGAAAUAUGGAAAGCUCAAUUUAAACAUUGAAUGAGUCAAAAGCACCAAGCUGAGGAGGCUAGAAUAUCUAACGAUUAUCACCAGCAAAGAAUCACAGAAGCAUUGCAAAAAUAGGCAAGGAAGUUUGCUACGAAACCACUACACCCGUAACACCUUAGAAAAUAGGUUAAUAACACCCUCUGCGAAAAUCAUGCCUCAUUUUCUUCUCUAUAAAGGUACCUUUAUGGAAAAAUGAAAAAGAAAAUAUGUGGACACUCUACUGAACUAGAACUAUUGAGAUUCAACUCCGAAGGGAAAGAUACUGACUUAAUCAUCAGAGGAGGCACAGUGGCACACCAAAAACCACCAUUUCCAGCCCCAUUUUAUUCCACCCGCCAAUACAAUACCAAUCCACACGAUAAAUAUAGUUGUUAUUGGGCAACCCAUUAAGAGUUAGAUUUAGGUCAAAGUAUUAAAACCAUUUCACACAAUCCAUUACACUUAAUAUUAACAGUUUAAUAAAUUUAAUAGCUUAAAUUAAGUAAAUUGACUUUAAAUUUAAUAAUUGUAUAAAGUUAUCACAAAUGAUUCAUUUGGAUAAAAACAUUUUGUUUUCGGGAAAACACAACAGUAUACUUAAGAUCUCAUAAAAGUAGUCUUAAUUACUAUAUCUAUAUAUAUAUAGUAAAUCAUAACUUACACCAUGAACUUUCGCACGUUCGGAUGGUUCGUUAACACUGGAUAUCCUCUAACUUUAUCAAAUACUUCAUAUUUUAGGAUGGGAAAAGCCGACGCGCCACUUCUUUGGUUGGAAAAAUCCUUCUCUGCAAGCGAAAAUUGGGACAACGAUCUUGAGAAGAACGGUAGUGAGUCGUGGUGUUGCGUACGAAACGCAACAAGUCAUAACUCGUAACAGGUUGACCUUCACCAGGAUAAUACUCAGUGUCUUUAAAGAAGUUUUUCAUAUCGGUCCCCAUUUUGCUCCACCAAUCAAGACAAGUUAACACACUAUCAGCAAACCCCCUGUUGAAUCCAGGUUCUUCAUUCAAUGUAUCAACGACCUCAAUUAAAAAUUGAAUUGACUUCUCAGGGGACCAGAAUAAAGGAAAAUUUUGACUAUCUGCUGGUGUCGUCCUAGAAAUAUGUGCAUAAACUUAUUAGAAAAUAAAAAACUAUAAUUAAAAUUAAAAAACUAUUAAUUAUAAACUAAAAAGCCAAACCUUACCUUUCAGUUAACAAACUACAGACAACUUGUGUGUAGCCUUUUUUGAGGUCACCAGACAAAAGAUGAUAUCUAGCUGAUCUGUUUGCUCUUAUUUCAUUCUCAAUGGCAUUUGAUGACUUGCCGAAGUAUGCAUGGUGACCACCAGAAAAGAGAAAAAACAAGAUUAAUCCAAGGCUGAAGCUAUAUGAUCUUGUUGGUGAUCGAUUAGUACCAGUCAGGAUUUCAACUGAUCGCCACCUUUCCGAACCUACAAUAAAGAACACAAAGUAAACAUCAAAUUAUAUUAAGAAGUUAAAAUUAACAAAUUCUAAUGGACAAAUUACUUACCCUGGCUGCUGGUCAGGUUCAAUUCAAUUUUAGCGUGCCACCUUCUUGGUCCACGUUUGAGUAGGACGUUACUUGGAGUUAAAUUUCCAUGAAAAUGACCGCACUCAUGAAGAAAAGCAACGCCUUUGAUUAUAUCCCUACGCAGAACAUUCAAAUUUAGUGCAUGUCAAGAUAUAUUCUUGGGGCAAAAAAAAAAAUGGCAAAACGAGUAUACUUACUAGGCUAUAUCCAUACACACAACUCAAUUAAAUCCCCCAUUACACUUUUAUUACACAAAAACUAAAAAUAUCUUAUGUUAGAGGAAUUUCAUCAAACACCUAAUAUCCGAUAUUUAUAACUCAUCAUUUUAACUAAAUAUUUUUUUUCAUUAUACCACUCCAACAACCUAUAAUCAUCUAGAAUCCCAAUCAAAUGCACUCAAAUUAUUAUAAAAUGUUGAAGUUUGCUCACCUAGGGUUUGAACUCUUUUCAAUUUCUUGGAUUCUUUAUUUUUAGUUCAUCGUCGUCGUGUUCAUCAUUGUUGCUAUCAUCGUUGCCGUCGCUGGUUGCCAGUUGCUGUUCGUCGUUCAAGAGCACAAAUUUGUAGUGUGGCUAGAGAGAGUUUAGAGUAUGGGAAUGUGAAGGGUAAUUUAAGGUAAUUUUUUAUUUAGUUAUAAUAGAAAAAAAUUAGAUGAGUUAAAUUAAAAAAUUAAAAAAAUUUUAAGAUUAUUUUUGUAAAUUUCUCCUCUCAGCUCUCUUAUGUCACCUUCCGAAAAAUUCUAGAAUACAUUUGUUGUACUAUAUCACCCAUAUAACAAACAAAUAAUAUCAUAACAUGUGUGUAUUUAUUUUGUAAACUAUCAUUUAAGUGGUGGUUGUAUUAAACUCAAUUACACAUGUUAUACAUGCAUUAAUUGGUUGUAAUACAACAUAUGUAUUUUAAGAUUAUUCGUGACCUUCCCCGUAAUUGUACUAUUCCAAUAAUAAAUGCCUAAAGAGUGCUUUUACAUAAAAGCCCUCUAUUUCCAACUAAUCACCUGUUCGAACUUUGAAUCGCCAAGCUAAUGCCUCCGUGGCCACCUGAAAAGCAUAACAUUUCCUGCUUUUGCGUCCAAAUACAUGCUAGUUUUCAACUUUCAAGUCCAUGUACAUUCGUCAAUAAUUCCACUACAGUCCGAGCUGUCUCAUUGCCAUGAAUAAACAGAGGCCAAUGAAUCGUUUUUUGUCUAAAUCCAAUCUCGCUCUUCAUUUAUCUUAGCUUAAAACUAAUCAUGUACACGUCAUACCUUUGCCAAUGACAUUUUAGCCAUUUAACAGCCAACUAUACACCUUAGCUUAUUAUACAGUCACAUUAAUUGUCUAAUUAUGCACUGCAAGACAACCAAAUCAAAUACCAACCUCUAGCCGGAAAACACACGGUACAGAUGUCGCCGGCUCCUGGAUUACAAGCACCGCUGCUACCGAACAGCAAGACGGAGAAGCGGCCAUGGGUAUCUGGUGCCGUAUUCAAUGUUGCAACUAGUAUUAUUGGAGCUGGGAUUAUGUCAAUUGCGGCCACCGUUAAAGUCCUGGGCGUAAUACCAGCUUUUGUGCUGAUUGUGAUCAUUGCCUGGCUAACUGACGUCUCCGUGGAAAUUCUGAUGAGAUAUACACAUGCCGGUGAGACGUCAACGUAUGCUGGUGUCAUGAGAGAGUCAUUUGGACGUGCAGGAUCAGUUGCAGCUCAACUCUGUGUCAUGAUCACUAACCUUGGAUGCUUGAUCAUAUUUUUUAUUAUUAUUGGUAAGUCUUCGAUUCUUUGUUUUGAAGGUGGAGGAUGGAUGAUUGAUAAAUGGCAGAUCUUGGUUAAUUCUUUUGGUUGAUGAUCAGGUGAUGUUCUGUGUUGCAAGUAGCCCGAAGGAUCAGUUCAUUUGGGUGUUUUACAAGAAUGGUGCGGCUUUCAUUGGUGGAAUACGCGAGUUAUCGCUCUGCUAUUCGUUAUGGUGUUUGUGAUGCUUCCAUUAGCCUUAUUCGGGCUUGUUGGUUAGUACCUUUGAUGAAAUGAAGCCUUCAAAAUGAUGCUAUAUUUGAUAAUUCUGCCUUGAAUGUUUGAACUUCUUGGUGACUUUGUUGCAUUUGCCUUAUUUCCAGACUCAUUGCGUUUUCAGUUCUGCAAUUUCUGUGCUACUGGCUGUGAUGUUUGUUGCUAUAUGCUCAGUCAUGGCAAUAUAUGCAGUCGGGGAGGGCAAAUCGAAAUCCCCAAAACUACUACCACAGUUGGACAACCAUGUGUCACUUUUUGAUCUUUUCCCUGCUGUCCCAGUUAUUGUUACAGCUUUCACUUUUUAUUUUAAUGGUGAGAACAUUUCGUACAAGUUACUCAGAAUUUCAUCAUUCUGUUGUGUAUUCUAAAAUUGGCGGCGUGUCUUUUUUUUUUUUUUUUUUCUACAAUUCAUCCGAUAGGUUGUGAGCUUGACAAGCCUUCUGACAUGAUCACAGCAGUAAGAAUUUCAUUAGUACUAUGUACCGCCAUCUACUUUUCCGUAGGCCUGUUUGGGUACGUUCUGUUUGGGGAGUCAAUCAUGUCUGACAUCCUUGUAAAUUUCGAUCAAAGUUCUGGUUCAGCAAUUAGUUCAUUACCUCAAUGAACUUGUUUGGUUAAGCUAUGCACUUCACCUCAUGCUUGUGUUCCCUAUGUUGAACUUUUCUCCGAGGGCUAACAUCGAUGAGCUGCUUUUCUCCCAGAAACCUCUUCUGGCAAAAGACACCAAAAGAUUUUUGUCCA
rnacentral:lncRNA from 1 species